rnacentral:lncRNA from 1 species
GGUCGUGGAGUUUACAACAUGUCUCACGGGAUUGGGAAAAAGGAGUGAACUUCUGUGUGGUAACUAGUGUCUUUGUACUUGGGCAUGGAAGUAAUACCAUCCAGGCUAUGAAGUCUUCUUUGAUUGCAAAAUAAUACUGCCAAAGAACGAUUCGACUACAUUUCUGCUUCAUUUUCUGUUUGUAUCUGUGGAUAUCUAAUGCCAGCAACUUGAAGAGCAGCGUUGUCGCUGUCUUGGUUAAUCGCACCCAUUCAUUUCCUCCUUUGUGUUUCCUUUCAAUUGGAGAUGGCUUCGCAUAUUUUUUGAGGUGGAAUCAUGUUAUGUUUAUUUUCAUGUUGGAUUUAACGGCAGCUCAGCUGCUCCAUCUCAUGCACAAAACCUGGUUGUAGCCUGCACGCAAGAGAUUUGUUUAUCUAAUCUUGCAUCUCUGCGUUAUUUUGCUUGAUUGGGAGAGCUGUUGAUAAUUAUUAUCUGAUUGAGUUCGUGCCUGUGAAUGGAAACGGCAUAGCAGAAAAAUAUGGUUAACUGCUAUCUAAAAUGGCUUAAAUUUUCACAUAUGAAAAAAAUCACACCUGUUUCGUUCAGCCUGUAAUGUUUUUCCAAGGAUAAAAACAUCGCUAGACUUGUUAUCAGGUUGUCAGAAGCGUCAUCUUUCAGUUCCAGCAGCUCUGGAGGGGUAUCUUUCGGUCAAUAUUUACUGGUGACAGAAGGCACAAAUAAACUCAGCUGGAGAGUGUAUAUUAAUUUGAAGAAGUAAAUUCCAGAGUAACUACUUUGUUAUAUCCUGGAUAAACUCUUUACCUAACCAGAACCAGUCAUGAAUUCUUGGCAACUUUUGGUUUCAGGAUUUGGAAUGGAAAUGACAGUAGUAUAUAGGAAUGCUUGGAUCGGCAAUGGACAGGGAUAGGGAAGGUAAAUGGUUCGUUGGAGGAAAGGGUUUAGAUGAAGUUACAAGUAACGUUUUUUGGCAAAAAAGUUACAGGUAUUUUUUUAAUAAAGUUACAAAUAAUUCUUCCAUCACUAAGAAGCUAUGAUAUUGACACGCUUACAGACAUCAGAAAUUGGUAACACAUGGAAAGGACCACCUCGCUAAGAGUGAUAACUGAUAAUAGUCUUGACACAUGCUAACACCCACAUCAGUAAUUGAAAGCACAUGGGCAGGGCACUAGACGAAUGCCACAUGAUAACUGUUUACAGAUCUCUAGGCUCUAGCCAACUUGUUCUCAAAAAUACUGAUUAACCAACUGAAUAUUGGAUAGAUUGUCCGCCUGAAACAAAAGGAAAUGCAAUACAAGUUAGCUUCAUUUGACAUCAAAAGAAUGUUCAGCUCAUUUUUUUUCCCAUCUAGGCCGCAACAACCAACUGCCCGAAAUACUUCUACUGAAGGAUAAAUGGUUUGGCUUUCAAACCGAGAUAAAGCAUUGCAAAUUUGCAACCACUUCUCAACAAGCAUAUAAAGACCGGAAAACAAUACUAGUUUGCAUUUUACCAUAAAAGGAUAAGCAUAAACAAAUACAUAAUUAAAUACAAUGUUCUUGCACAUAGGAAUACCCUUACAAAGUUAUAAUGCGAACUAACAAACCAGAAAUGUCAGCAAUGGUUAUAAUUAUCCUUGAAUGCAUCACAUAGGUGCUCAUAAAACUAUCGACAAGUGAAUAAUUAUCUAUUCUCACGCGCACAUAACUAGACAGUUUACAUGGCAGAAGCAAGCAGCAACCAACUACUUAUAACUACAGCAAACUAAACGUGUGGCGGGGCGAUCAGGUUCUUGAGUACACAGUCAGCUAAAGAUGACAUACGCAGAUAGGACCAUCCGUUAAUGCUCCAAAACUGUACAGUUUGCACAUGUUCCAAUCCUAGGAGAAGCAACCUGACGGCUUACAUGCAGAAAGUUGAAACCUGCAGCAAAUGCCAAUGCUAGACUAGUAGACUUAAAAGCAACUAUGCUAAAUGAACCUUUACAGCCAUAAAGUUCAAACUAAGUGAGAUGGAUUGUAUAUAGGAUCUGAGAACCGCAUGGCAUACCACUGAGCAUCUGGAGUAUGUAAUCCUUCUUAUAGAUUUCUGGCAGUGCUAAAAACAUGUCCAUUUGGUUUGGUUCCUUUGCGAAAAUGCUUGCGGCGGUUACCACUUCAAUUCCAGUUAAGCCAAGCUUUUCUACUUCAGAAAUGGCUGUUACUUUGGCCUUCCUUUGGGGCUCUUCACACAAUGACUUCUCUUGCAUAUCAGUACCAUACUCCACUGCUGCAAUCACCCUGCCAUUCUGAGUUAUAGUCUGGAAAUGAUCAAGAGCAUCCUUGAACUGUUCCAUUGCUGCUGUUGUGGUGCUGACAUGCUGAACAACACUCUGAAAGCGAUCAUGGGCAUCCUUGAACUGCUCCAUUCCUGCGGCCAUUGCACCAGCAUGCUGAACGACACUUUGAAAGUGAUCAUGUACAUCCUUGAACAGCUCCAUUGCUGCUGCCAUCGUACUUACAUGCUGAAUGGCAGUUUGAAACUGACCAUGUAGAUCCUUGAACUUGUCCAGGGACGGGCAAUUUGAUUCAGUCCUAUUCCCUUUUCCAUCAUGCUUGUAUUUCUUCUGACUCUUAGAGCUUAGUGUUGCAGCCAAGGAGCGACCAGAUACUCCUGUGGACAUCGCAUCCUCCUCCACUUCGUCAUCUCCAACUUCAUUUGCAUUUUCACCAUUCUCCAUGUUAGCAAUUGCUUCUUCAGACCCUUCCAACCCUUCUCCGAUGUAUCUGUCCUUGCCAUAUAUUGCAUCAAAUGUAUCAAAAUAUACAAAUGGGAUGCCAUACAUACCCUUGGCUCUAGGAUGAUCCUGCAUCAAACAAAUAAGUCAAAACAGAAACAUAUUAUGAUGAAAAAUAUACAAGUGCCAAAAUACUCAGAAUAACGUACUCUGCAAUAUUCAUCAUAUCGUUGUUUUUCACAUUGGAUCAUCUUUCUUGCGUCAUCCCAAGAGAAGCCUGGCGAUGCUAACAUAUCCUUGAUUGAAUAAUACUUCCGCUUCAACACUUUCAACCGAGAAUCAACAUGAGGGCUGGCUUUAAUACCACGGCCAGGUAGCUUUUGUGCAAGAAUGCUCUGUAUGCCUUGAGAGUAACAGUUCUUGAAGCCCCCUCCUUCAACCUUAUAUCUAGGAUCAGCAGAUACCUCGCACAAGGCUUUGACAAGCUCUUCAUCUUCUUCUGCUGUCCACUUCCUUUUAUUUCUACCUCUGCCGCGAACGAUUCUGGGGCUUGGAGUAUAAUUCAUCCCUGGAAAUAAAAAGAAAAACAAAUAAACACAAUUCAGUAGGUGUGCAUAGUACUUCGUAGCACAAUCGGAUUAGUACAUGGCAUUACUGAAUCGCUUCAGACCUGUGCCUCGCUACAAAAUACUAUCUAUGCUGACAGAAGAUACCAGAGUAGAUAACCUAAUACAAAGCAUAUGGCAUUACGAAUUGGAGAGAGCGAUAAAGCAGACCUGCGAAGACCAAAUUUCGCCCGGCAACUGCAGUUGGCUAACACGGCGAGCGUCGAGAUGUAGACAAAAUCGGCGCUUGAGCACCUGAAAGUAAACAAGAAAAGUAAAAACCUUGCCUGAAUCUGAUAUUUAGGCGUCGCCAUCUUGGAACACAAGGGAGCGCACGGGGCCUCACCCCACGAGCGGCGGAGACCAAGGCCGGAGGACGUCGGCGGCAAGCGUUGGGUGGCAGGAUUGGGAAUGGGAAUCCUGUGAUGGAGGGGAUUACCGGAUUAGGGUUUCAGCGGGAGCUCGGCUGGACCGAAAUUGCAAUUCCCGUUGGAGCGGACCUCACCUCAGGUCCUCAGCGGCUCAGCCUUCGUUUCAGGGAUUGGGGUAUGGAUUUGGAUUAGGAUUAGGACUUGGGCUUCCCGGGUGAUAACACCAUGCACCCGUUGGUUAAUACCCACACGAAAGCUAAUACCCACGGCUUAGGCUAAACCUCGUUGGUGGCUGUCCAUUUUUUAACAUAGUAGACUGUAUUGUAGACGUGCUAAAAUUGAUUUGACUUUAGUAAGAUAUUCUGUAUAUAAAUUUUAAUCUAAUAAAAAGUAGUUGAUACAUAAAUUUGUAUAUUAACCUCCUACUGUUCCUUUUUGCACGUGUUUAGCCCAAUGAUUUUGCAAUCUUGGAAAAGUAACGAUCUUGCUAAUUGAUGGUUGCAACAUCAGGCGUGCACUAAGCCAUCCAUUCGAUCCCGACAUUUUGUCUUAUCGCACGUCUCUAAACUAGCGAGGAACAGGCAUGAAUAUGGACUGAAAAAUAAUGUGCCAACAAGGAGUUUUCCCAUACAUGUUGCAAAAUGAGCCGUAGAAACAUAAAGACAUAUUACAAAUCUUUUGUUCUUUUCUCCUACUUAUGAUCCUGCCAAGCAAACUGGGCACAAAAGAACCACAGAUAGCGUUCCAUUCUCAUUCACCAGAAAAUUUGAUUAAUGUCAACAAAGCGAACAACUUUGUUAUUCCUCUGCACAAAUGCCCAUUGGGCAGCGAUAAAUGUUACCAGCAUCCAUAUUAUCAAUAAACUCGCUGCUAGCCUAUGUGCAUUUACACAAGAACGUUCUGUACACAAUUGUAGUACAUUACAGGCAAGGGCACCCAUUGGCUAUGAGCUUGCAUCACUCGCUGUUCUGCCAGCAAACUCCUUGAAGAAGCUUCAGCCCAGUAUUGCAGUUCAUGUCCUUUGGUUGACCAACUGGUUUCAAAAGAAGCAGCUCACCGUGGUGAUACCAUGCCAGUUUUUGCAUCAUACAUUCAUAUAUUACUGUCAAUGGCGGAAAGUUCUGACAGCUUGGUCUAUUCUUCUCCGGCAAAGUGGGCAGUUUGUUAAAUGUGAAGAGCAGGCCAUACAACAACACAUGUGGCCGCACCUGUAUAACAAUUUAUUAAUUACUGAGUUGCUUCGAGUGAAAUCUUUUAGGGGUGACAACAAUGAUAGCAGAACUAGCAAUGAACAGGGCUUAAAAUAUGAACAAAACUUGUAUUUCUGCAGUUCCACUCUUUGCUCAGGCUCCAACCCAAAUGAUGAAGCAUCGCACAUAACAAUGCUUAUUGAGUUCGUUUCACCCAUUAAUCAACUUUCAAGUGGUUGUCAAGUUAUGAGGCAAGCUGUUAUAGGAGAGAAAUUUGAGAAGCUAGUCAACAUGAAUCAGGAAGACCAUAAUGCUGCCUAGUAUAUUUGGGAUUGUGGAAAAAGAAAAAGGAAAAAGAGACAAUCAGGUUGUUUCAUUCUCAACAUAGAAGCUCUGGAAGACGUAGGAUACUUACGGCACAAAAACAGCAUUGUACUCUUGCUCAAGGCAUAUAACACAUAUAUCCAGCACCAAUUGAUCUUUUUUACUGUUAGGCUCUGUGUUUGAUGUACCUUUGCCCCCUGAACCAAAAAAAAAUACAAGAUAAUAAUUAAACAUGCCCAUUACUAAUAAUAUAGCACAACCAAUCUAGAACAGAAAUACAAAAUCACCUUCAGCUUCUCUAGCUUGCCUUUGUGCUGCUGCAUUAAGAACCCUAUACGAAUAAAAUAGUAUCAGAAUCUUCUGUGCCCAAUAAAACCUUAGUAUGCAAUCACGUGCAUGAGUGUUGGCUUGUGGUAACACUACUAUGCAAACAGAAUAUCUUAGCGCUUUAGUUUUAGGUUUUGAUUGCAUUUUAACCAAGCAUGACACUAGUUACAGGGUUAAGAAGAUACAAUGUAUUCACUCUGUACUCUUUAGUACUUUUUCUUAAAUGAAAGAAAGACAAACCUCUUAAAAGAAUCUGAACAAUAAAGAACGCCGCUACUUUUUUUUAACAAUCUGUUCAUCUGAAUGUCCUAAAAGGAACUGAUGUUAGGAGUUAGGCACCUUUUCUGCAGUUCGUGCCGGCGCUUCCUUUCCAGAAAAUGCUGAAUUGCACGCUUUGCAAGGAGAAAAACACUAAAUGUUGCAAAGCCCAUGGAAGCAAGCCGGUAUAACCUGUAACAAACACGCUAUUAGCAUCACGACACCCGAACUAAGACAAAGAGUGCUCUAAUGAAUUUUCCUACUUGGCCCAUUUUCCAAGAUUCAAGAUAAGUUGAUCAAUGCUUUUUGGUGAUACAUAAAAUGGUCCUUUGUGCGGUCUCUGAAUUCGAAUAGUUCCAACAUCAUCUUUAAUGGCCUGUUCAUACAAAAUAAGAACAAAGAACAAAAGGAAGAGAUAAAAAAAAUACAUUAGACAUGCCAACAAGAAUUAAUGCAACACAACACAGACCAAUUAGUGAUGCAAAUACUACCUCACCAACAACCGUCAACGAGGUUCCAGUUGGAAGAACCCUUUCAGUUCGCUUUACUCCAAGCAUCUAUAGGAUUAUUGCUUAAUCAUCAGUCAUGUAUCUUUAAGCAUUGUCAUUGUUGAAGAUGCGAUUAGACAAACCUUCAAUCCUUGUAAAUAAUCUAGAGUUCCACGUACAAGUGUCCGCCCUGACUCCUCAAAAACCUCACUGGCAACAGUUAAAAUUAAACCAGCUGCAGCACGAGCACCGACCACAUAGACACGUCCAGUUCCAUCAUCCUAGUGAUAUUUAAAGGUUAGAGAAGCAUCCCACUCGCAAAUUGUGGAUAAGUUAUUAAAAAAUGACAUCAUUUUUUUUGCCUGAAGGAUGCAUAUAGUAUAUAUGGAAUGGCCAUUUUCAUCCUGAGCUGUAAUAAUUUAUGUUUAAAUACCCAUUUGGCAUAUCUUAGGCUCAGAAUUAUCAUUUAUUUUGGACAAGAGGCUUAUGUAUGAUAUCAACAAUGCCUAAAAUAGGGGUUAAUUUUGGGCUUGAGUCUGGCCUCCAACAAGAGCCAGGGCCAGCAAGGCUGGGCUUUGGAGCUUAAAAGCUGACUUUUAUCCACACAUCAAGCUACAACAAUAGGCUCACAAGAAAAGCUUAAGGUAAUCCAAACAGAGACCAUUAGCUUAGUUGGCUCACACUAUAAACCCAAGUUCGCAUAAACUAGCUUAUUGAUAAACCCAAUUUCGGGCAUAAUAUGCUAAUUCAGUCCCAGGCUAAAUAGUCAUAUUUGAAAAAGGGGGAAAAAAGCUACAGCAGUCAAUUACCAGAUACCAUGGAACCUCUUUGCUAACAGAAAGCAUCACUGCAGAAUCUUGAAUCCAGGAUCCAGCAUCGUUGUGCUUCAGGAAGUGUUGCUCUGCCUACAAAAUAUAAAGUUUAAGCAGAAAUAGCAUAUUUAUUGCAGCCCAUCUACUCAUCACCAAAAAAAGAGAGAGAAUGAAAUCAGUGGUUACCGUUUCCUCAACGAUUACACCUCUCAUGCCACUUUGUUGGCAUAUAAGUGGCGUGUCUGAACCAACUCUUCCAGAAACGGCCACUACAAGUGGUAGGACUUUACUUGCAGUGUCCAAGAUAGCAGCUGUUCAAGACGGUGUAGACAUGUCAGAAAAUAACAUCAUUUAUAUAGUUAAAUAAUCAAAAUGGCUGCUAAGUUCUCAAAAUAACACCUAAUCUAAAGUUCCUUUUUAUAUAUUUAACCAAUCAAAAUCAACAUCCAUAUCGAAAAAGAGAGUGAAAUGACUGAAGAAACAACUGAGCAAGCAUAUCAAAAUCAACAGUUGACAAUUGUGCAAAUCAUACAAUCACAAUCAAGUCAGCUCAGUAUAAAACUGUAAACCUGAUACAAUUCUACCAGCAGUCAAAACCAUAUAACAAAACCCUGGUAACCUAAUUAUCAGGAGUACUAAUAUAAACUAAUCUCAACAAAUAUAAUCAUACUGUGCAAAUAUAAGCUUCGGUUGAUCCUUUCUUUUAAACAUAUACACACUCGGUUUUACUUACUAUCCUUUCGUAGUAAAAACAAAAAAAUAAAGAAUCAGACUAAAUCAAACAAUGAACCUUCCCAAAGGCUGAAUACAUCAACCACAAAUGCAGUAACCAAACCCUAACCCGUCACUUACUGACCUAAAUCCUUCAUGCUGCCAGCCCUCGCGACCGACCGCAGCACCUCCGCAUCUCUGAGCACCAAACAACCAAUACAUCACAUAGAUCUUACAGAAAGCGCACCGAAAAAGGGAAGAAAAUAAGACACGAGGGAUCGGCACCUUCCGCUGCUCCUCCCAAGGAGAUACAGAGCCGCGGCGCUGAGGCAGCACCCCACUCCGCCCCACGGAAUCAUCAUCGCCGCGAAUCGAGCACGAGAAUUGCAGCGCGCGAAUGGAGGCGGAGAUUUGCGCGCCGAAAUAUUUCUUCUUCCCCUUCACAUACGGCAGCGCUAUGGACGGGGGCAAAGCAAAGAACUGGAUACCAGAAGUGGAAGCGAACGCCACGUCAUCGAGAAGAGGUAGCCCCUAGCUGUCAGAUACGCUGACUUGUGGGGUCCCAAGAUGACCGCCUCCGCCGUCAACCAGUCACACGAGCGUUGGUCCCACGUGGAAUGGAAAGGGCGAGCUCCGUCUCUGCGACAUGGGGCCCGGACAACUCUACUUGCCCUCUCACUGCAGGUGGGUCCCGCAGCAAUUACACAGAGAAGCAGGGGUGCCUAGGGUUUUAGAAGAGGAAGGGGUGGGUUCUCCGCGGCGGCGACGGCGACGGCGAGCCAUGGAGACCUCGAAGCUCUCGUCGGCGCUCUUCGCCGGCACCCACUUCAACCGCAAGCGCUUCGCCGCCGACUUUGCGCGGUUCCAUCAAGGCCCGACUCCCUCACCCGCCGCCCCCUCCGCGCUGUCCCCGGAGAAGAAGCGGAAGCGAAAGAGCGGCAAGGCGAAGGCGAAGAAUAAUAAGAAGAAGCGAGCGGAAGCGGCUGCCGCCUCGUCGUCGGGUGAGGCUCGCUUCCGGUUGGUUCGCUCCGGGAGGUUGCCGCUUGGGUACUCAUUGUGUUGGUAAUUUCAUUCUGCCCCGUGUGUUGUAUUCUGCAGAUGUUGUGGAGGGGUUCAAUGUGUUCAAGGGAUUGGUGGGUAAAAAUGACGAGCUGCGUUCUGAGAAGGUGGUGAUAGGGAAAGAUGAGGAUUCGGUGUCUGUGAGGCGGCGGAAGGAGAUUGAGAGGGAAAUCGAGGUAAUUGAAUUUUGGCAGUGCACUUGUGUUGGUGUAUUGUGCCGUGCCUAUCCCAUUUAUGUAAUCAUGUCGCCAGUUUUUGUUGGACUGAAUUCUAGCUCAUGAAGAAUUGAUUGUUAAAAGCUUGCAUGCCCUAAAAUUUCUUAUGACCCCUUCAGUAUCCUGCUUGAAUUGACAGUAGUGCCAAAUAAAGCUUGGACUUUAGAUGUACUGUAUUUGCAAUUGCAAUUUCCAAAGUUUCUUACCACUGAGUCAUCUGGAUGGCUGGAGUUUUAUAGUUUGGUUUUGGUUUCCACUUUGCAGAGGGCUGCAGUUCUUCGGAAGAGGUUUGAUAUUCACAUUGCUGGACAAAAUGUUCCAGCACCACUUGAGAGCUUUGAAGAACUGAUUUCAAGGUUAGUGUUUUCAAGCACAACAUACUUCUGGUUAUAGUGGAAACGUUUGAGGUGGUUAGGUUGUUUUCAUUUUUGCACUAGAUAUGGGUGUGAUUCCUAUCUGGUUGGGAACUUGUCAAAACUUGGGUUUCAAGAACCUACACCAAUACAAAGGCAGGCCAUUCCCAUUCUUCUUUCGGUGAGUGAGUUUGAACUCUAUUUGGAUUUAGUCCUUUUGCCUUGGAAAACUAUUUUAGCCGUUAAGUUGAUUUAACAUGCAUUCCUUGCCUAGGGGAGGGAAUGCUUUGCUUGUGCACCUACUGGUUCUGGCAAGACACUGGCUUUCUUGUUUCCACUUCUUAUGAAAAUUAAGGUAUGUCUUUAUAGUAUUGCAUUGUGCUGUUCACAUUGGUUGAUAUUCCACUUGAUGAGUAUUGUUCUAAUAGCCAGGGUCUAAAGGUGGUGUUAAAGCUGUGAUUCUUUGCCCAACGAGAGAAUUGGCCGCACAAACUGUGAGAGAAUGCAAGAAGAUGGCUAAAGGAAGGAAGUACUAUAUUAAAUUGAUGACCAAAGAUCUCUCCAAAUCAGGGAAUUUCAAAGAUAUGCACUGUGAUAUCCUUGUUUCCACCCCGCUUCGUUUGGACCAUGCUGUAAAGAAAAGAGACCUUGAUUUAAGUAGGUCUGUGAUCAUAUCUUGAAUGUUUUAUUGUUUUGUUUUCCACCGCAAUUGGUUCCAUAAGCAAUGUAUUGAUGGCCACUUCUGGUAAGUUGUGGUUUUGAUUUAUGUUUGAUCAUGGCUGUUAACUUGUGGUUCCAUUUUCUAAUUUUUUAUAGAAACACUUAAAACUUGCGUAGCUGUGUAGUUCACAGCAUUUCACGCAAAAAAUGAUAACUUGUAGGUGACCACUGUACUACACAUGUCAUCGGUCAUUCCAAAAAAAAACAGUUAUUGUUCUAUUUCUUAGAAAUAGUACAAUUAAGCUACCACUAUGCUGGUUUUCCAACUCGUGUGUGUUUUCUUGUUACUUGAGGAUGAACUGUUGAUUGUUGCUUUCAGCAUUAUAAAGCAUAAUCUAGAAUCUAAAUAACAGAUAACCUCCUUUUGCAGUGUGGAAUACCUUGUCUUGGAUGAAUCUGAUAAACUUUUUGAGCUUGGAUUUGUUGAAGUGAUUGAUUCAGUUGUUGAAGCCUGUUCCAAUCCUUCAAUAAUUCGGUCUUUGUUCAGUGCCACAUUGCCCGAUUCAAUUGAGGCUCUUGCACGCACUAUAAUGCACGAUGCCAUUCGAGUCAUUGUUGGAAGAAAGUGAGUAUCUACAUCUAAAUAUGAACCUAAAUGAGGCUUGUUUGAUUUGAUAUUUUCAUCACUGUUUGUUCAACUUAACAGGAAUUCAGCUUCCUCACUGAUUAAGCAAAAAUUGAUUUUCGCUGGAACUGAGAGGGGGAAGUUGCUAGCUCUUCGGCAAAGCUUUCAAGAGGUAUAUCAAUAAUCUUUUAUCUGGUUGUGUCUCUGUUGUCUCCAGAUACCAUCCUUCUAGGGUUUCAAAUGAUGGACAAUUAAAACUAAGGAAUGUGGAAUUGUAUUUGCAUGAAUUUCACAAGUAGAUUGCAGUUAUUGGAAGUAUAAAAUACUGAUUGCUGCGGGAUUGCAGAACUGACCCACCACAGUUCUAUGUACCAUUUAUGCACUAACUACACACAUGUAUGAAUAAAAAAGUCAUGCUUGGACCUAGUCUGCUUCUUGUAGUAAUCAACUGAACAAAAUACAAAACUUUCAUUUUUAUGUUCAUUUGAGUUUGUUACUUAUUGCUGAUCAACCGUUUAUUAAAUUGUAGUCUCUCAAUCCACCAGUAUUGAUCUUUGUCCAAAGCAAAGACAGAGCAAAAGAGCUUUACAAAGAACUGGCAUUUGAUGACGUUAGGGCUGAUGUAAUUCAUGCAGACCUCAGUGAGGAGCAGGUAUUGCUUUGCAUAGUAUUGUUACUACUAUUUCAUAAAUGUUGGCACUAUUUUGUUUAUAGCUGUAAUACUGUUGUCUACGUCAAGGCUUACAUGCUGUCAAUUAAUAUUUCCUUUACUGCAGCGUCAGGAUGCUGUUGACAACUUGAGAGCUGGAAAGACCUGGGUACUGAUAGCAACAGAAGUCAUUGCUCGGGGAAUGGAUUUCAAAGGUGUAAACUGUGUGAUAAACUACGAUUUUCCGGAGUCAGCUGCUGCCUAUAUUCACAGGAUAGGUAAGACUCUGUACAUUUGAUUGCAUCCAUAUAGAUUAGAGAUUAUGAAUUUAUGGUAUAGAUUUUUAGAUUAGUUCCCUGUCGAAUAUACCUCAUCAUCUUGCCUGUUAGGUUCCUUUUUAAUUGAAUUCUGAUCUGGUAUAAAUGUGCCCAGUGAUCAUUUAAUUUGUCUGCAGUCACAUUAGUUUUGGAUACCAUAGGCUGUUUGCAUAUGUGCAUCUGGUGGAGGCGCCUUGAUACUGAAAGACCUUAUAUACAUAUCAAUUUUCCUCUGUGUAGGACGAUGCGGAAGAGCCGGUAGAUCUGGGGAGGCCAUCACGUUCUUCACAGAGGAGGACAAGCCAUUCUUGAGGAAUAUCGCGAACGUGCUGGUAUCUUCAGGAUGUGAAGUUCCUUCCUGGAUAAUGGCAUUGCCGAAGCUCAAGCGAAUGAAGCACAGGGUGGAUAGGGACCCAAUCUCCACCUUACCGGAUGAAGAUUAAGAAUGGUCUUGUAACCAUAGCAUUUUUUAGAUAAUACAUUGGCUCCAAUUAUCCAUGUUUGAAUGCCCAGAGUGGUAUUCCAACCAUAGCACUUUUGAGAUGGCACGCUGGCUUCAGCUUUCCCUGUUCGAAUUCGAAUGCCUGGUGUAUCGAUCAGUUUGUUAACUGCGACCCCAGACGAGAAAAAAUCACAUCUUUUUGUUAUGUAGAGUUUUUGUGAUCGAAUAGCGAGUCCACAAGUAGAUAGAUUAUGUUACGCAAUUAGAUGCAUCAUGCCUCUACAAACAUUUUUAUACUUCAUGUCAUCCUCUUCAUUCAGAUUCUUAACCAUAGACCCAGCAAUCAUUCUACACAUGCUUAGUUCUAUGGACAAGGGGGUGUGGAAGUUAGUGAAGACGUCUUGACCGAGGAAUUUGGUUAUAGAAACAGAACUGUUUCACUUGCAAGCAAGCUUACAAGGCUCUGAUUGGUAAUGAUAUAGUCUCGCAUCUAUUCAAGUCGAUGCACGCAGAUGGCUCUUUCAAACGUCAUUUUACUCGUGUCGGCUGGCUGCUCAAUAUCCUCAUUGCUUUAGCUUGUUAAUUGUGGUAGCGUUAAUUCCCCUCUCGGAGUUCUCUGGUCCUCUUAUCGCCAAGAAAUAUGUGGCAGAUACCUGGUGUAGAUGCCUGACAUGUAAUUAGACGUCGUAUUCAAACUCCACCUCCGUCUUUGUUUUCCUCCCAAAAGCUCUGAAUACAAAUUCAGGUGGGCGCAAAACCCCGGUUGACCUUGAAAAAAGCGAAAUAUGGGGCAAAGCCCGAUGCUGAAACCUUGGAGCUCCUCAACAUCAACACUGUGGCCAAGCAAAUCAAGAAGCAAUAUAAAUGCAAAUUCAACAGUUCUCCAGAUCAGGGAACACCAUGUAAAAUAUACUUGCAAGCAAGCAUAGAAACUUGAACAGCCAUGGUCAACACAGGUUCAUCACAGUACAGGCAUGUAAAUCACGGGGCCCAAUGGCACUGGCAUCAGCAUCAAGCUUCAAGCAUUAACGUCACAGGACAAUUGGCCAUGUCUCAGCACUACAGAUCAGACUGUUGACUACAAAGUUAACUCUAACACAUCAGAUCCACACAUCCAUCCACCGUCUAACAAGCAAUGUACAUCAGAACCACAUUUAGCCUGUGGAAGCAGUUCACAGUGGCCCAAGGAAGUCACCAGCCAUCGUAGCAAGGAGCUGAAACUGGCGGUCAGCUUCCAUCCAGCGGAAUCCCAUGACCUUGAAACGCAAGGCGGUGUCCUUCUCCAGCUUUGAGUGGUCGUUCAUGAACAUAGGGUUCUCCCCUCCAAUGUACUUGUAAUCGCUCAUCGACUUCUCAGCCAUGAAGAUGCUCUCAACAGGUCCAGAUUUGAGAAACACGCCGUGCUUGAGGAUCCUAUCCACAUAUCCAACCAAGAUCUCACCCUUCAGAGGCUUCUGUGUGAUGCAGGUGAAUGUGACUGGGAACAGAACGUCUCCAGUAAGCUCACGCACUUUCCCUUCAGAUAUUGCCUUCAGCUGAUUGACGGCAACGUAGUAGCCAUGCUCCUUGGAAGCCCUCUUGUUGGUAACAUCCUCCAGAAGACGCACAAUGAUAGCCUUGCGGAGCAGGAGGCCCUUGCGGUCCAGCUGGCUAGGGGAUAUCAACACAUUCCAUGACAUCUCUACCUCAAGAAAAACCAUGGCUGAGUACCUGCCAAAAGAUACAAGACAUCUAACUUUAGUGGCUUGGUAACUUUCAGCUGAAACAAAGGACAUGCUUGUUAGCGCAUUUCAGGGUAAAAUUAGAGUGACCCAUUCUUUCACAGAAGACAUGCAACUGUGCAUGCAGUAUCAUCACACAAGUAAUAGAUUGAAAGAAUAUAAAACAAAACUCUGUUAGAGACAUCGUUAACUAAAAUUUGAAUUGUCAAGACAGUUAUGGAGCAUGAUUUCGGUUAUGGACUGUAGUUAAUAGCCAAAGGUUGGACGUUGGAGGAUGCUUGCCCUUGUGCAGCUGUUUCGGGGCUCAUUCCAUAUCAUCAAAGACAAACAUUUGAUGCCAGAGGAAGGGAAGGCUUUCUACACCUUCAUACUUUGUAGCGUUAUUGUCUAAUACAAUUAUCCUCCUUAUGAAGUUAUGGUUAUAUAAAGGCCUUCUCCUAACUAUUAAUAACAGCUUACAGAAACUAACUACUGGAAUCAAAACAAUAAUGGAACCUGGACACAAUAAAAUCUGAACAAGCAUGCAAAUUAUUAGAAUAAUUGUUUUUUUGCCUCACAGCCCACCUUGCACUGUGCCCUUGAGAAGUUCUCAUGAAAAAUGAGUUCAAUAUAAAGAAAGGCAUUGAUGAUUAAAUUCUCUGGGAUGGAGUUAUAAGUAGGCAAGGUUUUAUUUUACAGCUCGCACAUUUCAAUCAGAAACAUAGUGAGUGCUGCAGAAUUUUAAUCACAUAUAUUGCAGUAGUGCAUAAAAAAGUAUGCGGCCGCAGCAGGGAAGGAUGGGAUAAGGGGUGGUUUCCCUCAUGCCCAGGGCCCCAACUACCAGCAAAGGAUUUUCUAACAUCUCACCAAACCAUUUCUACCAACAUGCCCUCUGCAACAAUAGCUGGAGUACAAAGAAUCACAUUAGGGUUUGGGGCGCUCUGUUUCGCACAGCAGGAAGGGAAGAGAAGGGGACGGCAUUACCUGGUGGGUGCUCGUCGCCGGCAAAGGGCCCGGCGAGGGAGACGUGUCGAAUCGCGCCGCCGCUCGUCCAAUCGUCCCCGCCAGGAAAGGGAGACCGAGAGGAGAGAGACGAGAGAGAAAGGAACGGUGCAAGGGAAGGUGGGGGAAACUGGGAAAUGGAAGUGAUUCUACGAGAGAGAAAAGUGAUUCUGUAGCUGAAAAUGAUUCUUUUUAAUUCUUUAACAUAAAUUAGUAUCACUAAACUAGAAUCACUUCGUAGAAUCAGGAGAAGCUAUUUUUUUUCAGCUCCCAACCUCUUAGUUCAUUUCAAAGAACCACUUCACAGAAUCAGCGGAGAAUCCCUUCCCUCUAAAAAAACUGUUUGGCAGAGCUUCUGCUGGAUUCGCAGAGAAUCAGCUCUAGAAGAUCUGCCAAACAAACCCUUAUUCUCUUUACUGUUUCAUUUUAUUUCUUUACCAGUUAUGAAUUUCUAAAAAUUAAUGAGUUUUUUCUUUUUGUUUCAAAAUCUCAUGCUCCCCAUUCCAAAUUGCAAAUUGUAGGUCGUUUUAAAAUAAAUUUUUUCACUAAAGACUUGCUCGAAUUUCAUUACCACAAGCAACAAAAUUACAAGUUCCAGGUUCAGGUUACACAACCAGAGUGAAGCUACUGAAAAGUACGAAAGCGAGCUCCAGCUGAACGACACACAGGGCCCUUCUAGCUGAAGAACAGACUACACGAGACUAGAGUUUUAAACAGUAGACAUCAACCUCUAUUAUGAGCUGCUAGACCGCAAACAGAUCCCAAAUUUUGCCUUCAUCGCCUGCGACCAGACUACCGACGACGCAUCUACCAUUGCAUCUACCAUUCGAGGGUGCCUGGUCCUUCACUGUUUCCUCCGUCCUCUCUUCGUGUGGAUGAAAAUGUAGUGGUCCAUCUUAGCUUCCUACUUUUGGAAACCUGCCCAAUAUAUUAUGAAAGAAGAUGCUAAGCAUAUAAUCUCAGUAGGAGAUUUUAUCUAUUUUUUAUCAAAACACACAAAAUUUCUAGCUUUCCAUAGCAUCCAGCAAAUAGCUGACAAACCAACCAUAUUAUGAUGCAUCUAGACAUACACUGUAGUAUAAUUUAAAAAAAUCAAAACGACCUACAAUUUGGAACGGAGGGAGCAUUUCCUUAAAUUUUUAUUAAGCGAGGUAUGUGUUCAAACUCAAAUGACCGUACACAUCGUAUACAUGUGCGGUAUUAUACACGCGCCUACAUAAAACACGUCAUACCAAUUAAAUUAUGCUCGGCCGGCCCUUUACGAUGUUGGCUUUUGAUUAAGUGCAUGGAAUUUUUGUCGAAUUCAACCUACUAUGGAUGAGAGUCCUCGUAGAAGCUGCACCAGUCCUUGAGAUGUUUGAUAUUGAUCGUAAGUUUUAGUCUGAUCUGUUCUCUCUGAAACGCAAGCUUCUGAUCUCACACUGUUUCAAGAAACAUGACUUGUUUGCUCUUAUUAGAUUUGGGGGCAUUCAUGCCAGAUCAGUGAUUCAUCAUUCAAGGCAAGGUUUUUGGGAGAGGACGAUCUCUCAUGGAAGAUGCCCGAAAUCACAAUUGAUAGAAUUUGUUAAAGCUGUUGUGCAUGACCCUUGCCAUGACACCAUUCUUCUGAAAUGUGAUGACCCUUGCCAGGACUGCGAGACGAUGGGUAUUUUCCCAGCUCGCUCAUCUACAGAGUGUUUGUUUCCAAAGAACAAGGAUGGGCGAGACAUGGUGGUCAAGCUUCUCAGUCUCAGGAAUGGUUUCUCAUCCCGUGCCCGGAUAAUUUUUGGUAACUGGAGCGGUGUUAAGAUCCUCAAAAACACACGACCACAGGUGUAUCAAGACUUGGGCGAAGAGGUACUAUCUAUCUAUAUUUUCAAAAGCCAAAAAGGAAACCACAUUUUGUAUAGAAAAUACAUGGCCGCAACACUUCUGACUGAGAAGACAAGCACAGACUUGCCAUCAUGGCCAACUUUGCGACUGCAAGUCGAAUGGAAUUCUUCCCAGCAUAGCCAGGAAGCAGGAUCUCAUCCCCAUCCGCAUCACUAGGUCCCGGUGCACCCUUCUCUAUGGUCUGAUUGCAUGAUUUAACAUUUCGACACCAAUUCAAUCGGAAGAAGACUUGCUCAGUCGCCUCCCAAAGAAAGGGAGAUCAUGGACAACGUGUAAGCUUUUCACUCUUGCAACUCCUGUCUCCAUCUCACUUAAUAAGUUUUUGCGGUACAUUCCACCGGCCAGCCAAAACAAAACACAUCAAUGACAUACCGACGAAGAUAAGCUUUGACUUGUGUGAUAAUCAAUCAUCAUUAAUUAAAUUUUGCAGUUUAGAAUUGACCUAGAGCUGAUGAAGCUCCACGAAGCCGUUGCAAUCCUUUUCGUUUCAAGUUCACCUUAUAUAAGUUAUUUUAGAAGAGUCUAUAAUCGGAUCAGUUUCAGGAAGGAAAACGUGCGGCAUCAAGUUUAUCAAGUUGACUCGCUGGAGGCACUUGUUCAAUUCCCUAGGCUAUGGGAAUGCUGGCACGCGAGUCCAAGGGAUGGCGCAGAGCCGCACCACGGAGCACUGCGUCCAGAUGCCUGCUCAUGGCGCCGGCCAAGGCAAGACCGCCGCGCCCACACCGGAGAAGCAGCUCAACUGCUUCGUCCGCUGCAUCGCGCUGAUUGAAAGGUUGGGCAACGCCCUCGGCACGCUGGCGUUCACCUGGGCAACCGUCGUCCUGUUGGGCGGUUACCCGACGGCGCUCAGCUCCAAGGACUUCCGGUAUGCAACAGCCAUAGUUUCCCUUGAAGCCGCAAGGUAUCCAUCAACACCACCCUUGGCUUUCAGAUUCUUGAACAUCGGUAGCCACGCAUUUACAAUAAUUCAUUUCAUCCGCUCUGUAUACUUCAGGAUGUUCAGCCACAACAACAGACUGGACUACCAGCUAUUCUUCCGCACCAGAGGUGCAGUUAGGCCUCUUGGAUGGAAUGGGCUGACCGUCAUUGUAUGCCUUUCUAAUGCUGUACUGUACCUAUUCAUGAUCCGGAAAACAUAUGGGUAUGGCUAUCAAACGUUGAAACAUUCGACUAGGGAUUUGGAAAUAUUCAAAGCUUGGGCUCUUAGCAUGAUAAUAGUACCUGCUGCACUAGGCCAAAUUUUGUCCCUGGGAGCUCUAAAACUACUCUCUAAACGGUUACGCCGUGCUAUAUCGCUAUGUGUUCCCUUGGUUGCAAUCAUGUUGCUGGCUCCGGCUAUACCAUAUUAUUAUGAGGGUGUCACAGUGGUUGGAUAUACUCUCAGAAACACAAUGGCCAAAUGGAUAGUUUUCCUUCUACUGUUUCUUGCAGUGCUUGUGCUUACAAUCAGCAGGCUACGUUACCCAAGAAUCACCAAGUUGACAGAACAUGCUCUGGGCAGCAAACAAGUAUUUUGGCGUCGACUGAUUCUGAAUUCCUGCAUGUUUGCUGUGCUGGUGAUGUUGGCAUUCAUGCAUGCUGAUCCAUUCUAUCGAUCGGUGAUGAUCACAUACGAAGUAUACACUUUAGUAGUUGUGACAUUUGGCAACUUACAGAUUCCAGCAGCAAUCAUACGUGUCGUGCUCGCAUCAUUGCGUCUUGGAUCACAUUCUUACUAUGGUGAUGAUGGCCAUCUUGACAAGAGAAACCCAGAGGACAAGACAAACCUUGUCCCAUCUCUAAAUAUCUUCUAUGGGAUGGUGCUCGGCCAAGGGGCACUCUACAUUGCAGCCUGCAUGCUCGAUAUCUUUUCAUUCAUCCCUCAGAGAUCCCUUGCCCGCCAAGGUGGAUUUGCAGGUAAGUGGGGUGUGGAAUGUGUCAAACUGUACUAUGCAUAUGCCUUUGAAAAAUACAUGGAAGGCGGAGUGGUUGCUCCAAAGAAGAUCAGCCUCAUCACCUUUGCCAUGGAUUCCCUAAAUUCGGACUCAACCAAGAAUCAGUUCUAUGGGAUUCGCAUGCUGCACAGCCUUCUUCAAAGAGAUCUGACCAGAACACACCUCCUUUCAAAACUCACCACUUCUACAAACACAAUCACUAGAUUAAUCAAUAUGCUAGAUUGGACGAGUCCAAGGGACAUAACUAUCAGAUUAUUCGCCGCAAAGGUCAUUGCUGAGCUUGCAAAUAGCCUCCGAGUUGUCACUGUACCUGGGACUAUGCAAGUUGUAUCUGCUCUAUUGGAUUAUGGCAACCAACAGAAAAGAGGAAACCCACUUUUGGACACAGAUGAUAAACAAGAGGAAAUACAUGAUCUAAUUUUGAAUGCUAAUGUCAUCCAUGGUGAAAUACAGGAUGCAGUUCUGGACACUAGCAGUCUGUUAGAGCCACAAGACCGUUCACUCCAGCAAGUUCAUAUUGAUGAACAGAACAAUUUGAUGCUCAUAUGGUGGCAGCGGAUUUCUAAAUUUUGGUCAGUCCCCAAGGAGGAACCAUUGACAGACCAAGAUCUUCUACCUGCACUGGGUAUGUCAAUUCUUGAUAGUCUUACUAGUUGUGACCAGGACAAUUGUGAGGAAAUCAACAAAGCAAGUGGCCUCAUCUCAAAGAUCAUAGGAUUCACAAAUUACAGUCGAAGUGACACCAUGUAUACUUGCGCUCAAUGGAGGGUUCUAGUGAUGUCAUCAUUGAAGUUGCUGCACAGUCUUACAAGCAUCAAUGGAGAAAUCGGCAUAACGCUACGGCACAAGAUAUCUAAGCAUCCCUUCCUACUGAGAAAUCUUGCAUAUAUCCUCGUAGACAACAUGAGCAACACAGAGUCAAGGAAGCUAGUGGCAGGAAUCCUUAGGAAUCUUGCAGUCCAUGAGAACGCAAGGCAAGCAAUCGGACGCAUCCAAGUGAUCAUUUCCAGGUUGAUGCAUGCAUUUCUCACUCCGGAACCCUCCAAUGCAGAUGAUGAUCGGUUGCUAAGGAAGAUCUCCGGGCAAGCGUUGACAAUGUUGGCAAUGGACAGUGUCAACAACUGUCUGACCAUGUUAAGGGAAACAGGGUAUGUAUUCAUUAAGGAACUCACAAGUAUAAUCCGUGUUGACAGGUACAGAUGCGUGGCAGCAAGUUUGUUGAGAAGUAUGUGCCUGCAUGCCCAGCAAGAGCUUGAAGAAUCAGACCAAAGAGAACUAUCUUACGCCUUGCGAGAGGUGAGACCUACUAAUACAAGCUAUUGGUUCAGUGUUCGUAAGUGGAUCAAUUUACUGUUGGCUUGUAUGUAUAUGCUCUUACCUCUUGGAUUCUUUAAGUUCUGUAUCUUUUUUUUUUACUUAACCAUCUAUCAUUUUUCUUCAGUUGGAUACGCGUGUGCUUGCAAUGCAUUAGAGUGUGGCCCCUAGCAUGCUUGUGGAUUAUAUAUGUCAUUACUCAUUACUGAGGGUAAAAUGUUCAAUUGAUCAUGACUAAGGUUGAUGAUGUUUUCACUACAGGUGUUAGAAAGAACAUUGAUUGCAGACGGGGCAGAACUAGAGAUUUUCAUUGGCCUUAGUUCGCAGAUAUGCAAAGUGAUCCCAGAAGACUUCGCCAAAGAACUAGAAGACGGUCAUAUCAAGGACAGAUUCGUGAUGCGGCUCGUCGACGUGCUGAACUCAUACACGGAGCCCAGCUCUCAUUGCCCCGGGAUCAGGAGGGUGAUACUCGAGCAAGCUAUAAACAUGAUGGAACAUGACUCCCGCUACACCAACUGCUUCAUCGAUCGCCACAUGGCGGAAGCACUGUCCAUGGUGGAAGAGACAGCCUCGGAGGCCGAGAACUACAGCCUCUUCCUGGGCGAUGUAGGGCUCAUGGAAGCCCGCGAGCCUUUGUCCUCUCUUAUGGCGAGGGCCAAACAGCUGCUGGCCGUCCGUUGAAGUUGACACUUUGAACAGCCAUCAUGUAUACAAGUUGUAGUUGUGAUGCGGAUAUUAUUUUCUCUGCUGCUGAGUCCUGUUUAUUUUAUACUUGACUUCCUAGGUUUAGAGUUGGUGGUAUGAAAGUGAGUCCCAGAUCCCAUGUAUGAUGUAUUAUUCUUGUGCGUUGUGAAAAAGAUCUUAUUGUUGUUAUAAUUAUAUUUGUGAUUAAUCGAUUGUCAUAAAACUUCACUAGCUUGCAAAGGUAGCCUUCGAUAAGUCAGCAAGCUCUAGUAUCAUCUGCAUUGCCAGUCCUAUGGACAGUUGAAAUGGAUCUAGGAUUGGUCCUUUAUCAAAAAAAAAAAAAAUCGAUCUAGGAUUUUAAUUUAGGGUAUGCCAAGCUAGUACUCCAAUGUACAAUAUGUAAGAUCUAAUAGAUAAUUUGGUAAAACAACUAUAAGUUUUGCCAAGAAAUUUGGUAUACAAGUUCAUGGUAAUAUCCUUACAAGACCUUAUAAUGCCAUAUUCGAGAAAAGAUCUUAUAAUGCCUUAAAAUUUCUCAAUUAAGUUCGAUUAAGCACAAAGAUACUUAUAAAAAGUUCACUGCAUUGAGUCUGAAUUAUGUGUAAAAGAAUCUAAGCACGAUUUAAAAUCCUAGUGGAUAACUCAUGGAUUUCUCAAUUGUCACUGGAACGGCUGAAAGCGUGAAACGUCAUAGUGCGCUACUAAUGCUGACUAAGCAUUAAAAAUCAAACAUUUUUCACUGACAUAAUAUUAAGUAGCAAAAAUUUUUUUAGAAUACGCAGAAAAGCUGCGUAUCUUUUUAUUAAGAAGAAAAAUGAACAUAGAUCUUACAACGCGGGCCUUCCCGAACACACGCACACGGUUGUUUACAUGUUGUGAAAUUACAUUGCAAAACCAAAACAACUUAGAAAAGAGCACAGGCACCAUCAGGGAGGUAAAGCACUAAGUGCUGAAGCUUGUUCAGCUGCAGCCGGCCAUCCUAAAACUGACAUCAGAGUAGCACCGGCUUCUAUCCAGAGUUGUGCUUGCUGGGUGUCGGUGAUGGCCGUGGUGAUCUGAGCAGCUGAAUGCGCUAUCGAUCGUCCAAAGACUAUGUCAUUCCGUUCUCGCCAAAUGGACCAAGAGAUCAACAUGAAAGAGGAGUCGAGGCCCUUUCGUUUGUGCCUGUUAAAACCCAGACGUAUCUGCAUCCACCAGUCGACCAGCGACCCUGUUGGAAUAGGAGUUUGGAUGUUGAGUAGUCUGUUGACUGCAUACCAAACCUCCCGAACAUUAAGUAGCAAAAUUUGAAGAGUAGUUCACCAAGAGAGGCUCCCAAACAUUCAGAUCAGCCACCUGCCCACCACCUAAGUGAAACACUGGUCAAGAUGCACCCGAGGGAGACCAAAGAACGACAUGAACCCAAGAAGAUGCCUGCUUCCUGCACCAACAAGAACGUUAAUUUCAGCAGCAAGAUUCAGAAAACUACGCAUAGAAACGACAAUGCCAUUGAUUCAGGAGAUGGCCCUGCCAGCGAAUCCACUACAUACGUAUGUCCAGACGUUGAAUUGUUACUGGUCUAUUUGUGCCGGGAGAAGAGGUCAAGAGGCCGAGAAUGGGCUAGGAUCGCCAGCCGCCGGUGGGGUGGGGAGCGGCGGCGCUGGCUCCUGCCUGGCCGGAGGGGCGGAGGCGGUGGAAGGAAUGUUGCGAGUCAUUGUGUCGGGCGAUCAGCACAGGAUCUGAAGGCGAGACGUCACGGGCUCGGUUCGACUGGAACUCGGGAGUUUUUUUUUUCUUUUGCACAUCCAUACAUGGGCUGUUUCGACUGGGCCGCAUCACAGGGUAUGCCGUGGCCCAACCAAUCACCAAUGGUAGGUAACCGAGAGAGUCCGAGAUCAGGCUAAUCGUAAACCAUUGCAGUAUGUACAGGGAAAAAAAAUUGAUUUUUUUUUCUCAGCUCUAAUAAUCCUAGACGCAUGACCAUAUCGCUGGCCACAAGAUCAAUUGCCCACAUUUGCCACAAGUUAGUUUAGGAUCACGAGAACCUCCUGACAAUCAAAGCGUAGAGGAGCUCGUUCCACGCGUCCGGCACGCCGGGCAGGCACCAGUGGCUGCAGUCCGCCCUCUGCCCCGCCGGCGUCGCCGUCGUCCUCGACGACGAUGGCACCACGUUGUUGUACACCGACGGAUGGCCGUCUCUCCUCUGCGCCGUCAUCAGGGUGACGUUCAGCACGUGCAAUUUCUUCUCCGGUGCUUCGUCAAAAGUCGGGUUCAGUACGCCCGGCCACCGGUGCAGCGCGAUCCUCGACGUGUUCAGCUCCGGCAGCGUCUCCGCGGCACACCCUCCUCCACCGUCCGUGACCCUGACGUGUGCCGGUGAGUACGUUCGGAACACGACCAGUGUUUUUACGGCGUUCACUUCCUUCUGGAUCCAUUUCUGCAGUGUGUUCAUCGCUCUUUGGUACGCGUCCUCGACGCUCAUGUUCAGUCGUAGCUUCUUGCCGUCCUGGAAGUAGCAUCCUCUUUACAACACACAGGAAACAACGUAUGAAAUGUCGUCCAGUAAAAAAGUUUGACGUGGAAGAUUUUAUUAAUUAGGGUGCUCCACGAAAGAAAGACUUCUUCAAGAAACAAUGCAGAAAAAUUAUGGUUUGAUUAUAUGUACACUGAUGAUGAAUCGGUCAUUGCCUUUUUGGAGUCUGUGACCCUAUGAUUAGCUAAGUUUUGAAAACAUUAACUAUGUUGUUAAUAGUUUCCUUUUUAUUAUAAAUAAACAAUAACAAUUAGCAUUUGAGGUCGAUCAUAAAUCUUAGUGACUGUAGAUGAACAACUUUGAAGAGAUUUUUUGUGACUACGUGGACAAUUUAGGUUUCUAUUCAACUAUGUUUCUGUUUCUUUAAGCAGUUUCUGUAGUAAAUAGGAACGAAAUGCGCAAUUUGUAGGCGAUGCAUUUUAGACCGUGACAGCAUACUCACAAUCGCUGCAGCCUUUCCUGGUUCCACCAGUGGCCCGUGUUGAACACCAAGAUGUCCGCGUCCUUCCACCGGGCGGCCCUGGAAUCCAUGGCGUCCAGCUGGAGCGUGGUGCCGACGCGCUUCGGCGAGCGGCGCGGCGGGCGGCCGCGCCGGACCAGGUACGGCGACCGGUAGUGCUCCACCGUGCAGUUGUGGUCACGGAACCGGAAGGAGAGGAAGCCCUUGUGCUUGGUGAUGGGGCUCCCGUUCUCCUCGUAUAUGGAGUUGGAGCUCUCGCCGGCGGCGACGGCCGAGGCGAGCAUGCACAGCAUGGACUCCCACUGGUUCCGCCCGAUCGAGUCGCCGACGAACACCAGCCGCCGGUUCCGGAGGAUCUCGAGCAGCCUCGUGGCGUCGAAACUUGGCAGCGUGCAGCGCCUCGGCCGCCACCUCCACUUGGCGUACUCGCCGUCCGGCCGGCCGUUCUCGCGGCACCGAAACCCCACGUCGACGAACGGGCACUGCCCCGGCUCGUACAGCGCGCCGCGGCGGCGGUCGGCGGCGGCGUCGCGCACCCACUCCCCGUCGACGGACAUGCUGCGGACCAGGUCGUCGUCGUCGCUGCAGUACCUGCUGCCGCCGCCGUCGUUCACGGCGCGGGUGGCGACGGCGGCAGCGCCGGUCGUGGUCGCGGUCGUGGUGGCCCUGACGAGCGCGCCGACCUCCCGGGCGGUGAGCCUCGCGGCGCCGAACCCCGAGGAGGCGGCGGCGACGAGCAGCGAGAGGGCGGAGAGGAGCACGCAGGCGCCCCACAGCGCGAUCUGCUGGUCGCCGCCGCCGCCGCACUGAGCCUUAUUGGCCCUCCUCCGCGCACUCGCCAUCUCCAUCGCUCCCCUUGCCGCAGGCCUUCACCGGUGGCGGCAGUGGGGUAGCAUGGCACGCAGCGCGAACAAAGGGUGGUCGACAAGGCCGGAGACGAUCGCUCCUCGCGCCCUUGUUGUUUCCGUUCUUGUGUUUGCGUCUGACUGUCUGAGGGACGGAUGUUAUGUUCCCUCGUUCUUGGAGUACGCGGUAGGGACGAGGCCGGCGAAGGACGGACCGGCGGCGGAUUGGUGCAUAAAAAAUCACUCCGGUGAGCCCGAGGGGAGACGACGACGGCGACGUGGGCUUAAAAGUAUUGUGCGGUUGCAUAUCAGGCCGUCCGACGUGGAACCGCUGCAAGGCGUUGGCAUUUGGCAGCGGCUGCUGCGGCGCGCGCGUGCAAAAAUACUACUACCCCUAAAUGUUAUUGAAAAAGAGGCUAAAAAAAGGGCUAAGCGCAACAUGUAGUACGCUAUGAAUCCAAGAUCUUUUGCUUUGGUAGUUUGAAUUGCUGACCCCGAUUACCACGAGGUGCAGGAGGAAUUGUGAAGGACGGGUUAUCAGCACGUUGAGUUAUGUUCGCGUGAGCGAUGUGGUAAAAUCUCAAAAGCAACAGCCCAAAUUCACAAGGGUUGUCGCAGUCUUGGGCUUUAGAGGUAACGAGACGGCCUUCACGAUUUCCGGGCCGCUGGUACUGGGAUGCCACCGCGCGCGCGCGCCAAUCUGCCAGUUGCAUUCUUCCCCAGCAAAAGUCAGGCAGGUUUGACUAAGUUUAUAAAAAAAAUGUUGAUCAAGUACAGGUAAUGCAUGUCUUAGCACACGGUUUGACUUUGGGCAGAUCUUUCUUGCAUUCUUGGCGCCGUUUGGCAGUAUGGCGAUGAUUUGCUUUGACACAAUCUGUACUAGUUAGUAUCACAGUUCGGACACAAGAUGUGGCGUCGAUUAGCUAUUCAACACGAAUCAGACACAGUAGCGACAGAAAAGAUGUACACGGGUCGGUGCAAGUGCAACGCAGUGCGCCAAACUCACCAAACUACACAAGCAAAGGCAGCACAAGUACGAGCGCACGUCAGCAAACUUUCCUGAUUAUACGAAGCAUCCGUACUCGGCUGGAAAUUUCUCAAUUCGCGUAAUCCCGUCAAUGAUGUAUGUUUAACCAGUUAACUCAGACAGCGCAGGUAUGACAAGUAAACAAGGCCCACCUAAAGUUCGUCACGCCAGGGAACAAAGAACCGCUAAAGACUACAAUUGCUUUUUCACGCCAGGUAGCACGUGGAUUUAAACAGAGUGUAUACUGUAUUACUAUUGCCUAUCAGUCAAAUGCAUCCUGGUUCUCUUUUGGGGUUGCUUUUGACCCUUUUACAGUUUUACCUCCCCAAUUGGCCUCAAACAAGAGCUAUGGGUAUAUAUAUUGUGCUACAGAUUCAACAGCCAAAGAAUGUACAUCUGAAUUUGCGAACACUUUUUACUUCUCAUGAUCUUCGUUUGAUGUGUCAAUCUUGAUUACAAGAGGUUGCUGUAGAUCCGAGGGAGAGGCUACCACAGGAAGCUGUGAGGUUCCAGCGUCGAGCUCUCCAUUCUCAGCCAAUGCCUUCUCCAGAGAUGAUUUUGCAACUUUUGUGACGCAGAUAAUCAAGACAACUGCAAGACAACAUUGAAAACAGUCAGUACAUACAUGAUAAAGGAGAGCCUUGCACUUAAAGUAAUACAAGAGCAAUACAUUAACGUGCAAUUUAAUAGAAAUUCUUCAAAAAUGCUUCAAACAAAAGGGAUUGGACACAUAAUGUUGCAAAGCCCGAGAUAAAAUCCACUAAGCUGCUGAACUGAAGGCCUAGAGUUGAAAGCAGCUAUGUUGGUUAUCUAGCUAUUUAAGGAGCAUCUAUUAAUAAGACUGGAUUUGUAAGGGUGCGUUUGGUUGGGAGACAAUGUAGAACGGGACGGUCCCGUCCCAGUUUUUCGGGAUGGGAUGAUCCCAUUUCUUGUUUGGUUGAAUGGGAUGGGUCCGUCCUAAUUUUUUGUUUGGUUGAAGAGAUUGCUAUAGACGGGACGAGCACCGUUUUCUUCUUCUGUUAACACCGUUCGUGGGGCCCACCUCAGGUAUCUUCUUCCUCCACCCCGGUUCCACUCUUGGCACUGUUCUUGGGCUCGCCGUUGCGCCGCCGGGGGAGCUUGCCCCGGGCGCACCGCCCGUGAAUCGGGCCUCGCCGGCCUCGAGCCGCCGCCCGCCGAAUCUCAGGGGCCGUGGGGGAGCUCGCGCGCGCCGGCCACGCGAGCCCGCGUCGGCCCCAGCUGUGCUCGCCCCCGCCUGCCGGCCCUACUCGCCUGCGCCGGCCGCGGCCGCGCUCGCCCGCGCCCGUGCUCGCCCGCGCCGGCCCCUCCGCGCCCGCCGGCCGUGCUCGCCCGCGCCGGCCCCUCCGCCGGCGGCUCCACCCCGCCCAACCUCGCCCCCUCCACCGGUGCGGACGGACGGCGCGUGACGGGGGCGAAGUGGGAUGCCCCCGUCCGCUCGUUUUGGUGGGAUGGGGGCAUCCCGCAUCUAGAGGGUAUAUUCCCUCGUAGGGAUGUUCCCGUCCCACCUGUCUCCAAACCAAACACGGGACGAAGUGGGAUCGUCCCGUCCCGUCCCACUUCAUCCCUCAAACCAAACGCACCCUAAGAGUGCAGAUUCAUUCUGCCUAGUCCCAAAGACCUUCUAGAAUUGCAAUUGAAGUCAGUUAAAAUAUCAAUUUUUUCUGCUCCUCAAGGCCUGAAGCUAUAUCGACAUGACAUCUCAUCAGUCAUCCAUCCAUAAUCAGGCCAUAUAGGGAAUCCCUAGUCUCGGCAAUCAGCAUGCGGUGCUGUUCCUUACUUAAUUAUAUGAAGAUUUGGAAAUCAAUAGUGAGUAUGUUUUGAAUCUCCUAGGACCCAUGGUUUAUGCGAGUUAAGAUCAAAGAUAAAUUCUGGAACUAUCUAUAGUUCAGGACCAGUGACAAGGAGAAUGGCCCAAAAAUAAGAUUGUAUUUACACAAUGCUGAUGCACAGAAAGCCAAGAUUUCUGUAAAAAAAAUGUCUUGGCUUACUCAGGACAUCAAAGAUUUUGAUUAAAAAUUUGAAUGUCAGUUUUAGAUAUAACCAACGGGGAAAAAAGCCAUAUAUUAUCAAAAUCUGCAGGGAAGAAAAUGGCACUUACCAGACAAUACAAAGCCAGAUAUUAUCAGAAUCUGAAAAGAAACAAGAAUAGGUGUCAGCAUAAGCUACUAGGAAGUUGUGCACAAAAUUGAAUCAACUUUUAGAAUGCAAACGAGGAACAACUUAAAAGCCAAUAUUUGAUUUGCAGUGAUCAGAUGUUUUCCUAACUCUGUUCAUACAUGAUAAUAAUAAAAGUUUUCUUUCCUGUAGCACAUGUCUACUCUCCAUAUUUGAUGCUCAAUGUUUUCCUCAUGCGUCUCCGCUAAAACUAAGACAGAAUUCAAGACAUAACAGUUCCACAACUUCCAUCCACUUUCAGUGCAAACCCAUAAAAUUAAAUAUACUGCCUAAUGAACCAAUUAAUAUACCAUUGCAACAUUUAAGAACAGGGCAGUCAGUCACCAUCAAAAGUUUGUCCUCAAGUGCAAAUCACACAUCCCACGAUGAAGUUACUCAUUUAAGUGUGCAAGUGAAAAUGAACAAGAUAACUGCAUACAUUUCCCAGGGUCCAAUGAUGAAACAACUUGUUAAGUCAGAUGUGCAGCAGGCGUGGAUGGACACACUUUAUCAAUAGAUCUCAGCCAUCUAAAUUAUGUAUCGUAAACAACAAAUAGAGUAUGCGAACAAACAUAUUUAAUGAAUUAUAUUCAUGUAGAAUCCAGGAUAGAUGAAAAAUGCAAUGUGAUCUGUUCUUCUUUCUUGAUGAAAAGGUUAUUUACUCUGUAUUCAGAAAAUUCGGAUGAGCUAGUAUCACAAAACCAAAUGCAUGACAUGUCACAGCACAAUGUAGCCAUCUGAAACAAUGCAUCGUUACUUUCUCGAACAUGCAGAGAAUAAUGGUAUCAUUACUCACCCAUCGAGUAGUUGAGAUCUCGCUCCACCCAUGCGUCACAUCUGAUAGAUCUUUCAGUGUUGUUCCAACAUAUACCAAAGCGAGGGUGAUUGGCUGCAAAACAAGAAUGGUUAGCAAAGAUGAACUGCAACAUUGCCUUGCUGAGCUAAGAUCAGUUCAUAAUGAAAAAAAAAAAGGUUAUGUAAUGCUGCAACUUAGCUAAUUACAAGAAUAUCUUAUUAUUAGCUGCAAGUUUUGUGUCAAUAUAUCAAUAAAAUAAGAAGUAAUGUACCGAACAAGAAGUACCAAAGGGCAUUAGUGCAUUUAUGCUAGAAAAGUCUAAUACACUACAUAUGCAAAAGCAUGCUACAAACAAAUAGUUGUAAUUAUGUAAACAAUGUAGCAGAUGGUUACAAAGUGAGGUGUCAAUGAGCCAGCUAAUAUGUGCCAGUAGCCUGGUGCCAUAAUACAACAACAAAGCCUUUUUUUAUCCCAAUCAUUUGGGGUGGUCUAGAGAUGAAAGGCAACAUGAGCCACCGAAUAAAGAGUAGGUAAAAAGGUAAAAAGCUGAAGCAUACCAUCAUUCCUAACCAAGAAGCCAGCAUGUAUUCUCCAAUGCCAACAGGAGUGACAGACAACAGGUAGUUCAACAUGUUGAACGGAAGUAAAGGCACAAGCCUCAGUAGCAACACGAUCUGCGCAUAUAUUAGAAGCCUUAGUGAAAUUGUGUAUAUGAUCAAACAAGUUCACAAUACAGUUACAUAGCACUCCCAAAUAGCGAACAUCAGUCAAAUGUUAUUUUUCAGCCAAUGGAAUGUCUAAAACCUACUGACUGCAAGAAGUUACCUUGAAGCCAGACCUUUGGAUGGCAAUAGCUACGGCUUGAAACUUGGGGUAAUCUUUGCAUUUGGAGAGAACGUAAGGCCUCCCAAUCUGCACCAACAUUAUAAACUAUUAUAAUAUAUCGGAAAAGUAACAAUGCAACUAUACAGUGAUAACUAAAAGAGGCAAAUUAUUGAACUUAAUAGUGCAUGACGAUCUACCCAGCAGACAUAAUUAUUCACAGAAAUAAGGUGCAUAACUUGUACCAAAUUACUUUUAAUGUAGUUCCGGUUGAAACACGAGACAAAAAAGGCAUGCACACCACAAUACACACUUUAUAACAUGAAUGAAAACAGUAGCUGGACGACCACACAGAUGCAAUGAAUUGCUUUAGCACUUGGCAUUUUAUAUCCCUCUGUGGCAAUAUGCAGUUGGAAAGACAAUACAUACCGUCCUGCCAAGAAGAAAUGCGGCAGUUGCACCUAUUGUUGCUCCAAGGGAAUCAGCAACAAACCCAACAGGCAAGCCGAAAAGAUAGCCCCCUCCAAGCUGGCACAUAAAAUGGCAGCAACUUAAAAAGGUGAUCUAACACCUGAAGGCUCUUAAAAAAGGGCAAGGCUCGAAACAAGGGGAAAUGGCAAUUGCACGUACUGUAAGAAUUGAUGCUGGAACAGCUAAGACCGUCAGAGGGAUGUAAGCAAGGGCCCUGUAGUAAUACACAACAUGAAUGGUUGGAAUUUAAAAAGUAAUAAGGGAGGUAAUAUAGAACCACGAUACUUCAGCUCUAUGCUGCUAAAGUGUGGUUGCAAGUGCAAAUCUAAUCCAAUUAUGAGCAAAGGAGUUCGAUACUUACAGCACCAAAGGACCCCAUGGACCCAAGUUCCCCUUGAUCCAAACCAGAAAAUCCUUUAGAAUCUGUCAUUGUAAGCUUAAACAAAUAAGUAUCUGAUACAAAACUUAUAACAAUCUACAUUCUAACUUCUAAGGUUCAUGCUCCUGAGAUUUUGGCAGCUAGAAAGCGAAGAGAAGGCAAGUAAGAACUUCCCAUACUUUGGACUACACUUAGAAAAUAGAAUAUCACCGCACUGCAGUAUUAUGAUCUAAAUGAGGUAAAAGUAAAAAUAAAAAACUAACUGACAUGAUUUCCUAGGAACAUGACACUUGGAUUGAAUUCUACAGAAAGGAAAAGUUAAGGAUUACCACCAAUAUUUGGUUAUAAAAGGCAAGCACAGAAAAAAGGAACCAAUAAUGAAGGAAACAUCCUGACUCUGAAUAAUUCAUUAUAGCUCCCGACUCUUAAAAAAAUUCUUAUAACUCACACAGUCCCAUAGCAUAUUGUCUACCGAGAAAACAUCUGAAUCAAGAUGAAAGCUAGAAGAGCGGUUAACAAUAUCAACUGGAUGCAGGCGGUUAAGAAAGGUGGGCUGCAAGUAUUAAUUGAAUACAACACUAAAACAGGAAACAGUAUCUAGGUCCCACUUUGAAUAACCCUAUCCUCCUAGCAUACCAUAACUGGGCACAACACUUACAAAAGACAGUGGUAGAAAACACAAUAAGGAUGUAUUCAGAUUUCAGAAUAUGAUAGGAAUGAACCCAUAAUAAACUAAUCACUGGCAUGGCUAUCCCCCAAUUCAUGUACUCUAUUUACCGUGUGCCAGGGCUCCUGGCACACAACAGUGGAUGUGAUGAAGGAAUAUACUACUCAUUAAAAGUUUCUCAUUAGACUGUAAAUGCAUUUCAAUUUGUAAAUCCAUGUCUUCAUGACAACAUGUAAGUUACUAACUUAUAAUCACGCCAUAUCAACACUACAUUUCAGAAGAUUGAAACAUUAAGUGUGCAUUUGGUGCAGCAAACUACUAGCUCCACUGAAACAGAAAUUUCAAGUUAUAAUCAUGGCAGAUUAAGGGUAGCCAUGGCAUGGGGAGAUUCAACCAAUCAAGAGGGCAAACAAAGCUACAUUUCAGCAACCGGACGACUAACCACACAGGUAGUUUAAGCUGCGCAGAUUAACAAGUGCGCAUCCCAUGAUCGCACACAUCAGGAGGUUGCCAGCCCCAACACGGCAGAGGGCAGACACCGAAUCCCAAACGAAGCGAUUCGCUACGGGAUGAGGGGAUAGAGCCGCACCUUCUCGACGGGGAGCGUGAAGAGCGCUACGCCGACGGCGACGAGCAGGACGGUGGCGACGGCGAGGCGGACGGCCGAGGGCCACGAGAGCGCCAUGGACGCGAGCAGCCUCCUGCGCCAGGGCCUGAGCCUGCCGCAGUCCUCCCCUCCCUCCCCGCCCUCCGCGCCGUCCGCCCAGCCCCCCGUCCUCCCCCGCGCCCGCAGCCCCACCGCGGCGCCUGCCAGAUUUGCCGCCCCCGGAUCUGCCUGCCCCCCUCUCCCUCACCCUCCGCCUCCGCCCUUAGCUGGCUAGCACGCGCACCCGCCGCGGCAGCUCAUGGCAGCAGAUGCGACGCCGGAUCUGGAGGCGGGUGGAGGCGUCCCGUCGAGCACGCGCUGCGACCUGCGUUGCGUUGCGUGCGGGUUCGAUUUUUUGUUCCCCUUUUUCCCGGUGGGAAGACGGAGGGAGGAGGUGAGAGAGGGGGGAGGCUUCGCUUCGCAGUUCGCUCGCUCGCACGCUUCGCUUUGCUUUCACCUAACGUCCCCCACCUCCCCGGCGAGCGCGCCAGAACCGACAGAUGUGACGCGGCGUGAUCCGGUCGGCUCUGGCCGGGAAGCGGUAGAGUCUGGCCUCUGGCGGGUGGGUCCCGCCCCUUAGGCAAACCCGUGGAUAAUGUAGCUACUAUUAUUAAUUGAUCAAUAAAGUAAUUUUAUUUUGAGAGAGAGAGGAAGAAAAUAACUUUGGCUAUCACUGUCGGACCGUAUUUGUUGCAAACCAUCUAACCUGUGCAACUUUGAAAACUAUGAAUCAAGGUUAAAAGAUAGCUAAUCCAACAGAUACGGUUAGUGGUGGGAUUAUUUUGCAGUUAAGCCCCCCCAACCCGCCGGCCACUUUUGCAUAUCAUGGAAAAGGUGCUUAUGAAUCAAGGCCACAAGAUGUUAAUCCAAUAGAUAAGGUUAGUGGUGGGAUUAUUUUGCAGUUUAAGUUCCCCACCCACCAGCCACUUUUGCAUAUCAUGAAAAAGGUGCUGCAUGCCUGAUUUCCAAUGUUGCACGGGGCAGAUGGUUUGCAACCGAUACGUUCCCAUCACUAUCAGUGUCUCCAAAAAUGCCUGAUUUUUGAAAUUUGAUCAAAAUAGAUAGAUUAACUUAUAUUGGUAUCAGUAUAUUCAUGAUGCAAAAUAUUUCAAAUGUAUAAUCACUUUGUUUUUUCAUAAUAAUCUCUUUGUCCUAAGUCAAACUUUUUCGAUUUGAUUAAGUUUACAGAAAAAGAAAAGGUGUCAACAUCUACAACAUCAAAUUAGUCUCAUUGAAUCCAUCAUGGAAUAUGUGUUGAUAGUUCAUUCUUUGUUAUUUGUAGAUAUUAUUUUUUUCUAUAAAUUUGAUCAAAUUUAAUCAAAUUUGAUUUAGAAUAAAAUUAACAUGAACUAUAAUUUAGAAUGGAAGUAUAUAGUUAUAGGAAUUGUUGGUUAGAUUUUUAUCUGGUAACGCUAUCAAAUGUCGUAAGCAGCUUGUAUAGGAGUAUUUUGCAUUUGCUGCCCUUUUCAUUGUUGUGAAGCUUAAUGGAACGUUUGGGUCAAAGCCAGGCCUUUUUGCAUAGUUUGAUCGUGCACUUUUUUUUUCAUUUAGCUUGAUCCUGCACUUUUUUUUUCAUUUAUACUUGUGUUGGAAUGCAAUGCAAUCACCUUAAAAGGAGUAGUAAGGCAUGUUGGUGAGUGAAAUUAAGCUGGACGCUGGAGGUUGGCAAGUGCAACACGUGUUUAUACGUGGUUUUAAUUAUGGUGGUUUUCAGUUUCUCUGCCUGAUGCUUUGGACUUAAGGUUGGCUAAGAACCAGUGGAUCAUCACUGCUGGCUGCAAUUGUUCGCUCAGUCCAUGCAUAAUUGUAAGGCUUAUUUGAGAAUUAGAAAAUCUUCAAAAAUAUAUUUGACAAUUUAUUUAUCUUAAAAUAUGUCGGCAAUGGGUGUAAAAUCAAAACCAACCCAUACAUUGAUAUGCAACUUUAUACUCAAAGCAUGGCAUAUACAUAAUUUGACUAUUUUUUUUUCUAAAAAACUACAAAGUUUGAUUUUUUUUCGAAAAAAGAAUACAUCUUAUAUUGAUGGCCGUAGACUUCAUCCGUUUUAAAUUGUAAAUUGUAGUUCGACGUGGAAAAGUCAAACUUUGUCCAAUCUUUGCAUUUCUUGCUUACAUGCAUGUAUCUUGCAAUUAAACAUGCAUGCUAAUUGAACACAAUGCUACCAGUACACAUCUGCUUUAUUUUUCUGCCAAAUCUUUUCAUUUCCUCUACUAAUUAAACACACACUGUCUCCAGGUACAGAGUUUUCUUUGAUACUUCAGCUGUAGCCCGUCACUAACUGACACACCAGCAUCUAUCCCACAGCAGGCCGCCAGUACAUAACACGUACAAUACUAAUACAAACUCGUAGCUACUACCUGAAUACAUAAGAGUGUUUGUUGAUUACAUAAUUUCUUUCUUGCCUCGAUACCUGAAUCCCAAACCUUCUUAUUUUCUUUCUUGCCUGAUAAACUUGGUGAUGGUAUUACUUGAUGAAUAGUACGUACACGUAUGGUAUGUAGCAAGGGGAAAAGGCCAGACCUCGAUCGCUCUCACUUGCUUUCUCUCGCCAUGGAUGCGUGCAUGGCCGCAGCUGGCUAGCUUCACUCAAGUUCCGCCGCACCUGUAGAUGAACUUGCAGCUGUGGCCGACCCUGACGGUGUACUUGUGCUGCGGCUUCACGAGGAAGGACGGCAGGCGGAGCAGCGCCUGGCACACGCAGUCCGGCUCCACCUCCUUGAGCCACCGGCAGCAGUCCCUGUACGCGCGGUGGCCGUCGUCGUCGUCGUCAUCGUCAUCGUCAUCGUCGUCGUCCUCAUCCUCGUCGUCGUCCUCAUCCUCGUCAUUAUCCUCGUCCUCGUCGUUGUCCUCGUCCUCGUCGCCGUCCUCGUCCUCGUCGCCGCCGUCCUCGCCGUCGCGCAGACGGCCAUGGCGGUGGCGGCGGCGGCGGUGCCUCCUGGACCCGUGGCGGCGACGGCGGACGCCGCCGCCGCCGCUGCGGGUGUGGUUCCCGACGGAGGGGCUGGUGCCGUUGCGGUGCGCGUCGUCGUCGGCGUCCACCUCAUCAUCCGCCUCGACGGUGAUCAUCGACGACGCGGGCUUGCUGGCGACGCUGCCCGACUUUGACGCGGGCUUGCUGACGAGUCCGCUCUUCAUCUUUUCCUGGUCGCGAUCGCGACGACGAUCGCCGCCGCCGCCGCCGCCGCCGGAGUCCUCGUCGUUGUCCUCGUCCUCAUCCUCGUCGUCGUCGUUGUCCUCGUCCUCGUCCUCGUCGUGGUCGUGGUGGUGGUGCUCGGGGCUGGUGGGCGGCAGGAUGGCGCAGGCCUGGCUGGCGAUGGCGAACUGGGUGAGGCAGAACUUCUUGGUCUGCGCCUCCGCCGGCACGCUCAGGAACGGGAGCAGCAGGACGGCGGCGAGGAGCGCCACCUGGAGCGCCGGGGCAGCCAUGGCUGGACCGGCCGGCCGCUCGCUCUCGGCCGGUGGACACGGAGAGUAUAAAUUCUUCAAGAAAUCUAGUUGAUGUUCGAUGCACGGUAGACGCGUGCCUCUGCUUAUAUAUAUAUAACGAUCGAUCGAUGGAUCUCAACAUUCUGUGGCUGUGAGGCUGUGACAGAGAGCAUCGUGUUCCUCUUUGCAUGGUUGCUGGAUUUGUGCGGGGAUGGGAGUAGGGGAGAAGGUGAUGAGUUGUAGGUGCCUCAUGCUCGCCGUGUGAUGGCUCCAUUGGUGUACAUUGUUUACUUGUGCGCAACUGGUAAGCACGAGCUUUGCAGGUCGAUGAUCUUUGUGUGACCUGCUUAGUAAAUUGCCUCUCUCCAUGACCAUCUUUCCAUUACUAACGAGAAGUCUCUAGCUACGCGGUUGUAAAAUAGGUUAUUACUCCAUGGCUUAUUUUCAAGCUUUAUGGUCUUUCUGUCUUAGUUAGUUGUGUAAUUGAUAUGCAUGAGUCAUGCAAGAAUAAAUCCUAAAGGUUAAUCUGAUUUCUUUUAGCGCAAAGUUACCUACGAGUCUACGACUGUCAUCUAAACCACUCACCUCUUCAUAAAAAUUAACAUAAAACGGUCCCUUCUUCAAAGAAAUUAUCCACUUAUGCAGAGUGCGCCAUGAAGUGGCGUUUUCCAAAAGAAAAAGCAGGGUCGUUGCCGCCAACCCUUCCUCUACGGGUCAUUUUGACACUGAAUGGAAGAGGGACAUGGUUCCCAGCCUUGUGGUGUAAAUUAAGUCCAAGAAUUGUCUAGGUUCUCAUUUCUUCUUGGUGACAUUGAGGCGGCAGCAAAGACAUCAACGAUAAGAAAAAAAGUUCCUUCAGCUUCUUCCCAAUGUGGCAAGUUGCAGAGCCUAUGAGGGCGGAGCCUUUCUAGAUUUGGAUUUCUAGCGAGUCAUCGUUAGAAAUUCUUUCAAACUGGCACUAGUCUUUCAAAAAGUUUAAUUAUCGAUCUUUCAUACUCCCUCCAUUCCAAAUUGUAGGUUGUUUUGAUUUUUCUAAAUUAAUAGAUAUUGCUAUGCACUUAGAUAAAGUGUAUGUCUAGAUGCAUAAUAAUAUCUAUGAAUCUAGAAAUACCAAAACGACCUACAAUUUGGACAGAGGGAGUAUAUUCCAUCUUAUAGUUUACGUGUUAGCCAAACCACAUGAUUGAAAUUUUGACCACCAUGGUUUCGGUAAUUUGAAAAUCCAUCAUUCACCCCAAACAAUUGAUCAAGUUGCAUUAUUUCAACAAAAACAGCAUGAAAAAAUACAGACAUUAUUGCAAUUCUUACCUUAGUACCACAUAAGUACAAGCAAUCAAGCAUGGAACUUUGAAACUAUAGAAUAAACCACGUUAUUCAAUCUUACCUCUGGAAAUCCUACGAUACUCACACUACAUGGUCCAUGGUUAAAUCUUGUUUUUGUCCCGUCAUUAUCGUCGUCAUGUUUGUCCCGUUUAUGUUGUAUAUCUAAUACGACGAUGAUAUAUUAUUUAUGUAUUGCCAAAUUCUUGUUUUUGCGGUCAAUAAUACAGAGAGGAAUUUGGAGGUUUGGACAAUAUUUAUCUUUGAAGGACCACAUCUGACAUCAUGUCCUUUAAUUUGUACAUUUGCCCAUUUCUCUCUAGUGACGCAUUUAAUUUCACCAAAUAAAAACGUUGCUAGAUGUUGUGUGCACCAUCCCCACCAAACGCCAAGAAAGCACGAAUCGUCAUAAAUUGGAUCCUCGUUUCGAAAUAUCGGUGCCAUAUAUACUCUCUCCAUUUUUCAUUUUUUAGAAUGACUCUUGUACACUAAACAUGCACAUUAUUAUACGGAUUGCACUCGUGGAUAUAAACAUACAGUCAUAUUAUUGUACGUAUGGAAUGAAGCAGUCAAGCAGUCACGAACUCACGAUGACUUUUCUUUUUGUUCACAUGCUAAGAUUUUGACUUCAUCGCUCUUAUAAUACCUCUCAAUGAUUUGUUGCACGUUACUAGAUGUGAUAAUUCGUUGUGCAUAGGGUUUUUUUUGUGUGUGUGUAUGUUAAGCGAGUCCACGCUUUUAACUUAUCACCUUAUGAUUCCUCACCAAUGGAAUGCUUAAAGAUAAUGAAAAAUGCUACUCCAGCUGCAAGGAUUAUUAUAAUCGCACAGUAAGGUUUCGUGCCCACUGCUCGGAUGAUUUGGGUCUCCAACUCAAUACGAGUACUCGUAUUUUCGGUUGUUUCAAUUCAUCAACAGCCAUAUGUCUUGACUUCCUAAAUCUGAAGAUUUACCCUCCCAGGCGUUCUUAUGGAUGAUCGUGUGUAUGUGUACGUUAGGGUCUAUAUUCGUACUGUAAUUAAAAAAAUGCUAUGAGAACCAUUUUUUUUCUUAUUUCAGUCUCUAGCAGUUAACCUAUGGCUGUGUUGACAGCCAGCCGUCAUCAAUGAAUUUCAUGUCCACAAAUCUUUUCACCUCCUCGUCACUCAAACGCUUCUCCCAACCCUCUCUUCUACUCAUAUCCGAUCCUGGCCCUGUGCAUCCAACUUCUGCAAACGUAACCUGUGACCUGAAAACGAAAAAUUCCAUCUUAAACAUACACACAAAUUUCUUAAACCCCUGCACUUCAAUGGCAAUGGCAAUGUUAGCAGCAGCUUACACGUCGUUGCCGGCGUUCCAUGCCUGCCACCCCUGCGGCACGACGACGUCGUCCAUGCGCGUCCCGUAGAAGACGACGGUGGCGUAGCCGUUCCAUGCGCGGCCGAGGUAGAUGCGGCCCGUGCCCGUCACCGCGCGGCCCUUGAACACCAGCCCGCCGGGGCUGCCGGCGUCGAGCCUCGCAUGUUGGACAUGAGCACACAGUCCUCGUAUGUAGAUGGACUGGCCGGAGCCGAAGACGAAGUCGAGUACCUUGAAGGAGAUGUCCCGGGCGACGAAGUUGUCGGCGAGGACGGUGAAGGUGGCGCUGCGCAUCGUCGGCGAGUGCUCGUCGACUCCCACGUUCGGGCGGCGCAUUAUCUGGUCGAUGCCGGCACGCGCGUUCGCGUCGAAGCUGAUGUCCGUCGUCGACGAGCCGUGCCCCUCCAGCAAGAUGUAGCCUUUCCGCCGUGGGAUGGUGACCUUCUCCCUGCACGUACCGACAAAUCGCUAGCUCAUCAGCAAACAAAAGUAGUGAAAAAUGUGAAAUAGCUACUCCUCCAAUUCUCUCUCCAGCUAAUACCUCAUAAGGGGUUGCAUUGUCCAUGGAGUACUAUACGACAAACAUUAAAUGUACAAAUAUUAAUUCAAAUCAUUUUCUAAGUGAAAACUAUAUAUGUUUCAAAUCUUGAGGCUUCUACUUACAAGGUUGCAAAUCUACUCAUGAAGAAAAUCGAGCAAAAUCUAGCUUAGCUAUUCUAUCAAUCUUGGCAAAGAAAAGGAGCGGCAAAAUCUAGCUAUCUGUUGCGACUUCACGACUGCAGCGAAAUGCCACAUGUUGUGCGGUCUCUAGCAGUCCAGCAUGAUAGAAAAAAAAUCAGUAGAGGUAAUCCAGCGAAAUGCCACAAACAAGAUCGAGGAGUAUUAGCACGGACCAGUAGCUCCCUGCAUGCACAUGGAUCUUGAUCCAGUCGCGGUUGCCGUCCGGCACGGAGUCCACCGCCGACUGCACCGUCGGGAAAUCGCCUCGCCCUUGCCUAUCCACGGUGAUGGUCCGGGACACCGCCGCCCAUGCCAAGCUCGGCGUGGAAAGCCGGAGCAGCAGCAGGAGGAAGAGGACGACUAGAAGUGGCGACGAGCAGGAGAAGCAAAACGGCUGCAUCCCGUGCGUAUUUUGACAUUGUUCUGAGAUGAUGUGGUUUGGUAUAUAUAUUCGUUUGUUAGUGUGCCUGUGUAGCCGGAGUAUUUGAGAUAUCGUGCAUUAAUAGAAUAUCUUGGGAGGUCGAGAUGGAGCACGUCGCCGCUAUUUGCAUUAAUGGAUCAACAAGGUUCAGUGGUAGAAAAUCUUUGUGAAUCUUUCCUAGACUACGCUGAACUUCCGCUGAUGCAAAGGCUUCGCUAAAAUGCUAAUGGAAGUCGGGGGCUUGCCCGUAAUCUAAAAUUAAAUACAAAUAUGAACAAUAGAGGAAGCGUGAUAUAAAUAUAAUUUCAAUUGAAAAAUCCAAUCGAUGUAGAAUUGUAAUUAUUUUGAACCAUUCCAUACAUGAACCAAAUGAUACAAGCAACCAAACGCACCCAAAAUAUAAUUUCAAUUGGAAAAUCACAUCGAUGUAGAGCCAUCACUUUUGACGGUUGCUUGCAUACGACUAAACGAGUUACCUGUCAAAUGACUCAGAUCACAUAGUUUUAACGAAAUAUUACAAACUCAUUGUACAUUCCCAAGCCCAGAACCCUUUUUGCAGUGUGACGACUCGGCUGCAUUCGCCGGAAGAGUGUUGAGCCAUAUGCAUGGUAUCAAAACCAGAUGCCCAAUAGUCUACAAGUACAAAAUCAUCUGAAUUUUGACAAAGCCCUGCUGUCAAACUACAAACUAAAUUAUCUUAGAAAAGGGUUGGAUGGCAACUGGGUUACAGGAACGAAAUACAGACUUCGACAAGAUGGAAUGUUAGGUUAACAACACAUAUGGCUCACUCUCUUCACAGGAUUGGCCUAGCUCCCGUUUCUGCAUUUGCAGAACACUGCUACAACUACAUAUAUACAGUGGAGGGUGGUCCCAUCUUUUAUUUCAGGAGAUUUCAGGUUAAGCAAACCAGCAAAUAGAGACAUCGACAAAUGAUUCAUGAUUCACCAAUGACAAGGAAAACCUGCCAAAUAUAACCAGAAAAACCAUGUGUCAGAUCAAUAAACACAAAGAAAACAAGUGCCAAUUAAUUAACCAUUAAAUAUGGUUUCUAAAGGAGUAAAUGCGCACCGUCAAAUAUUGUCAGAAAUUACCCAUCCCCGAUAACCAAGCACUGCCAAUCAGCCACUAUCAGAGUUGAGUCAGCAUUCUGCAAUCUGCAGUAAUUAAAAAGAGAAAUAUGUAGGAAACUUAAGCAGCGGGGAAUGCUCCGAUUCCACUCUUUACAAGUACCUUAUCCCAAGUAAAUCACAUAAUUUUAAAGCUACAGUUGUAAAGGUAACAUGUAAGAACACCUCUGUUCAAAUACCAGUCAUCAGUGGUAUCUAUCAUAAUCACGCCUUCCAUGCCGCCUCCAACCUGAUUUCAAAAUGGUGACUAACAUUCAGCUUGAAGUGCGCAAAGAACAAAAACAGUGGCUCACUGGCUCUCCCAACAUAUUGUGAAUAUGUGAUGAUGCAGAAUAAUGACACCAUAAGGGCAGAAGAAGGAAAUAUGAAAUAGCACACCUCCUCCAUUGGAAACUGGUGGCUCCAUUGUCUGUCUGGAAUCAGGAGGAUACUUGGAUCUCCUAUGAGGCAUAGACCACCCAGAACAUGGACCUGGUGGAGGCUCCAGCGGUGGUCCACAAUGAAAUUGGUUGGGCGGCGCUUCGAAGUGAUCUGGAAAUGGGGGACCUGAAUGAUUGUAAAGGUUAGUGUAGUCAGUGAUACAUAGUGUCAAUUGCACAUCGCUUGAGAAAAUUAGUGUCAAACAGACAUCAUUUGAAACAAAAAGGUGUCAAACUGGACAUUUGAAAAAAAGAAUAGUGUCAACUGGAUACUGAUGAGAACAAAACUCGCAAAGCAUAAAAGUUUUUUGGCUAAGCAUAAAAGUUUAAUUCAGAAAAACACUUGAUUAAUCUUGUAUUUCAGCAAAACUGCUCAAAGCAGUUGGAUGCAAAACAUCAAUGCUGGAUAGAAAAAGAAGGGGGGAAAUACCUGGUGGAAAGAAUGGAGGAAACCUUCCACCAUCCAUAACUUCAUGGUGCAUUUGCCCCCUAUCAUGAAAGUGGUGCCAUCUGUCAUCGAAGUGAUGCAUCCCAUCAUCAAAGUAAUGCCCUCCACCAUCAAAGCAAUGGCCCCUAUCAUCAAAGUGAUGCCCUCUGUCAUUGAAAUGAGGUCUCCUAUUAUAUCCAUGUUGUCCUCUGUCAUGUCCACCAUACUGACAACUCUCAGGAUGGGGAGGGCCAUAAUUCCAAGGUUGUGUUCUCUGUUCUGGUUCAGGUGGAUAUGGGAACUGAUUAGGACCUGGUGGAUGUGGUGGUGGCUGUAUAUGGUAUGCGCUACUAGGUAAUGGUGCUGAUGGUGGCUGGUGAUAGUUAUUUCCAUGAUGUGGUAAUGAGGGCCCACAUAAGCUGCCAUGGGGCCCAGAAGGAUGGAAUGCUGCAAUAGGUGGUGGUGGCGGAGGCGGUGGUGGUUGAAAUAUUUGAUUAGUACUCCCUGCAUAUCCAGAACUGUAGUGUACUGGAGGCUGUGAAGAAGUUACACAUGCAUCCAUGUUGCCUCGAUUGUUUGCAACAGAAUAAUGGUGUGGACCUUCAACAGUCUGCAAAGAACGUCAAGAAGUAAUUAUAGUCACUGAAAAAUAAAUUUCAGAGCAGUCUUUCUGCACAAACAAAAGAGCAGCUACAUACAUAAUUGGCUCCUGGAUGAUGAUGCUCAACACAAUCCGUUGCCACAAGCAAUGCUCCUUGCACCUGUGAACCUUGAGAGACAGGACAGGGUGGGCGCGGUUGAGGUGGUGGCGAUGAUGGCAAUGGGGGAGGAGAUGGAGCUUUGUCAUCAGGUAGGGGCGGAAUGGAACUGCGCUGUUGAGCUGUUCUUGUACAGCUAGCAUCAUUGGUUAGAUCUUCUUGGCAUGUGGAGCUGGCUUCAGCUCCAGUUGACGGGGCUGCAUCCUCCAUCUCAAGUUCACCAUCCACUUCUUCCAAGAUGAGUUGAUGCUUUGUCACAGGAAAUUGGGACGCCUCCUGCUCAUUAGCACCAGUAACUUCAUGUUCAGGAGUAAGACCUUCAAAGCUCCUAUCCUCAGAGGACCUUCCAUCCUCAUCUUCAAUUAGUUUCGUGCAAAUUAAAUUUGGAAGAUGAAAACCAGCAUUGCUGUGUAGAAUGGAGCAUAUCAACAGAUAGUCUUUAGUACAAAAAAGAUGAUACAGAAGUUCAGCAUGCAUACACACAGUUUGUUACAUAUACAAAAUAAGAGCAUGCCUGAUAUACAAAGAUUAUGUUUGGAAAAUUGAUACUUUCAUAUUUUUGUUCGGUCCCCUAAGCACCAUCACUAGACAAUAGUCAAAUAGAGAAAAAUAUAUGAAAUGGAGGUAGUACAUUUACAUUUAGCAUUAUAAUAAACACCCUUAUUGUGUCAUCACGAGUCAUGACUAUAAUUGUCCUCAAAACUUUUUAAACAUUUCAGUACUGAUACUCAAUAUUUUCUUGAUACAUCUGAACUGGUCUCAAACUGUCACACAUAUAAUAAGCACUUAAAAUCGCAUAGCACACGGUUUCAAUAAUGGCAAUCUGGGAUUUUAGAAGGAAAAAGAAACAAUUUGUCCACAGGUACUGACCAGUGGUACCAGCCCAUACAUACAUACUAGCCCAAGUAUCAUGGUAGUCUGUCUCAUUAUAGAUUUUUCCAUGAACCAUCCAGUAUAGGUGGUGUAUAUCCAAGCUUUUCGUGAAUAUCCAUGGGCCUGCUAGUGCAAGUAGUCAAGCACAUUUACGAAGCAGGAAGCAGAGAGGACCAUCUAACACGAUCUAGUUUUCCAGUCCAGUUGUAUAUACCAAUCUCAUGGAACCUAGGGUGAAGCUAAGUUGGUGAUAUGCUAUCAGCACCAAACUCAUGUACUAACGAUUUUCCCUUUUAUAAUUAUGUAAAGAUCAACAAAAUCACUCCAACACUGAUGAAAUGCUAUGCGAAAUAUUUUUGUAAUAGGAAUAAACAGAAUAAUUAAGCCUAUGCAGUACAUUCAUUGAACCUUAGAAAUGUCCUUAGUGGAAAAGUAGAGCCUACCUUCCAUACUCAUCAACGAGAAAUGCCUCAUUAUCCCGCAAAGGGUCAUUCAGAGCUCUCUCGGUACCUGAAGGACGGUGAGAGCUUCCAAAUGAUGCCUCAUUAAGAGCUUCAAGCUCUUUAAUAUGGUGGCGAAUGAUGUAUUCUGAAAGGGUUUUUCUCUCAAGCCAGAGCCUCAAAACCUAAUCAUCAAGAAACAGAAGUUUGUGAAAGACUGUUAAAUACAUAUGCUUCAACCAGUUGCUGAAAUCGCUUGCCUUAAGACAUUGCCUCCGAUUCUCCCAAGCAGAAUUUCCAGGUGGUGCGGAAGCAUAUAUAAUUCGUGGUAAAACUGCCUGGAUAAGAGAAGGAUAGGCAUCACCAGGUCCACCUACAUGGUUCAUGGCAGUAGUUUAGUAGCUUCAAAUCUACCCAUUCCAAACUAGAAAAAUAUAAGAAUAUGCAUGUACCUUUCUGAUUGCGACAGUACCGGAUUAUUGAAUCAACAAGGAAGAACAAAUCAACCCUUUUAUAUAAAUUAGUUUCCUUUUCCAGGUGUUCAAUAAUGAUAUCCAUUACCUAGAUUAUUGAACAAAAAAGAACAGAAUCAAAUCACAUCUACAUCGCACACCUUGAAACUGAUUGAUUUGUCCAAUGGCUAUAAAAUGUUUUUUAAUAAUAACAUUGAAGGCAGCAAAAGCUGUUACUAUGCUCUUACUAUGCUCGAACAAAAAUCCUGAAAAUAGUGAAGUGCCAUAGUGGGCAACACAGCAAGCCCACUAACUUCUAGCUUGUGAAUAGCACGCUGUUGCAUAUUGAAGAAUGUACAGAGGCCAUGAGAACAAUAUGGGGAACUAUGGAGAACACAUUCUUAUGAUGGGAAAAAUCAGCCUUUCAAAUGAAAAGUGAUCUAUGGGAAACUAGCCAUGAGUUAAUAUCAUUGCAGUUAGGGAAAGCAACAGGAAGCUAUAUACAAAUACAAGCAAGAAAUGUUAGCAAUAAAACCAUGUGGAUUUAUACAAAAUAGACGUCCAAGAUAAACCACAAUGAAACAGCAUGCCUCUAAAAUUAAGGUGAAGAGUUCGCAAGGCCUAACCUCACCAGCGAUGCCAUGCUUGGCACAGUCCAGUGCAAGACGUGUUGCACGAGAUAUACUUUCCUUUGUUCGUGUUAGUGUACCAACAAAAGCUUCAAAUGCCCUCCGUGAUGAAUUGGCUUCAUUACGACCUGCUAAUUUGUUCAAGCCCUUAAAUUGCAGAUUAUCGAAAGGACCACUAUCUUCUUCAGAAUGAACCCUAUCUGAUCCAGACCCUAUCGUGUGAUUUGGAGGUGAACACCAGUCACUUGAUCCUUCCUUGAGUGAAGGUAUAUUCACCAAAGGUUCAGAAAUAAAUUUUGAAUCUAGAGAAUUGUGCAUGAAUGAAUUUGACCGAGAAAAUCCACGAGCAUGUUCAUCAGCAAUUAGUUCUUUAGUAGGCAUUGAAUCUGGAGAUAUGCUCUUAUCUUUUGGGUUUAAUCCGUGGUCGAGGUCUCUCGGUGCAAUUGCUGAAGAACUAUGCCUGCAAGAUUAAAGACUCAAACUAUUAUUAUCCCUAACUACAUGACUAAGAACAUAAGACUUUUGAAGAACUGAUGAAGUUUACAUAUUCUUAGUGGCAACAGAGAGUAGACAAAAGAAUUGAACAAAUAAGGAUUCCAUCUGUAGUUGCUAGGAAAUAUAAGCAUUUAUAUCUUACAGUUCUAGGUCAAUCAAAGAAUUGUAAGUUGGAACAUAAUAGCUGAACUUACACCCAAAUGCAUAAUUAAAUCCAUCUUUGUUAUACUGUUCAAAAAAAAAGAACAAACACAAUAGGCUUGAUUAUAUAAAGUUCUACACCGACCCAGCCAUCAGAGGCAGAGCUUGCUUUGCUUAAGCAAGUGAUUAAUAUCACCACCUGCUAUUAGCUUGCUCUGCAGUAAGUGAAUUAAUGCAAAAGUGCACACUGUCUAGGUAAACAAAUAUGGCUGUAUAUAACAAAUAAAUUGAAGGUUUGCUUUCUGCAAGAAAUAGAAGACUUACUCUUCAAAUGUCCUGGUGCUUGUGUCAGAAUGAAUACAUGAAACUUUAGAAACCAACGAAGUAGUACUUGUUCCGUCACAAAUAUUAGCUGUUGAUUCAGCUAAAACAGUGUCAUCAACAGGAUCACAAGUGCCAUUAGUAUAUGAGACAACAGCAUUUGCUUGGCUAACUGGCUCAGCAGAUACAUCAAUAGUUAUGCCGAAAGCAUUUUUAGAGCCUUCAAUAGAUUCCGUAGGCACAUUUCCCCUUGCUUCAUGUGAAGGUGAUCGAUCAAACUUAGAUACAAAGGCUGGCUCUUCCAAUUUCAUGGAACAGGUUGGAGUUUUUCCACAGUCAUCGCUAUCAGUCCCAGUAUGAACCAAAUUAGGUACAUUUUCACGGUCCAUGCAAGCUUCUUCAGAAACUCUGUCCCUUUGUAUACUGUCACUGACAUCAUCAUUUCUCAAAUCCAAAGGAACAGGAGAGAAGGCAUCCUUGUUCAACAGGACAGCUUGUGUGAUAUGCUUUUGGCCAGUUGGAGCAUCUAAAGAAUGUGCACUCAAAGAUACCUUAGGGCUUUCAGCCAAUGCAGAUUUUGGACUUUUAACGAGUGCAUCUGCAGAGUUAUUAGGAGGGGACCUUUCCAUUGAAGCAGUGCAGCCUUUCAGGGUAACAUCCUUUGACUUUGUAGCUUCAGGCAGAUUACUUAAAGUAUCAGAUGUGUUAGCAGACAUAGCUUCUAAGGCACGAUGAAGGCGUUUUGAUGGAGGCAAAGCAGCUUCUACAUCCAAUGUCAAAACCUUUGGUUGGUAUUCUUUAUUAUUAUUACAAUAAUCCGGAACUACUCCUGAUGGCAUAGGGAGCUUUAUUUUGGGUGAAGCAUCUACGCUAGGAGGUAUGUCAUCAGCUGAUUGAUUGUUUCCAGAUAUUGCAGGCGUAGCAUGCUUAUAACAUGGAUCUUCAUGUUUAGCUGGCUCUGUUUUGUCAUAAGAAUGGUCAUGUUCAUCAGCUGUGGCAUCCUUGGGUGUACGUCUUUCCAUUCGUACCCUUGCCCUUUUGACCAAUGGCAAGUGCUCAUCUCCAUCUGAUUUGUUAAUUUCAUUCCUUGAAUUUGGAGAAUAUACAAUAUCUCCAUUUGACUUAGACUGCAAUUCCCUAUUCAUAUUUGUUACCUCACUACUGACAGGAUUAUUAGCACGACUAUUGUUUUGCCUUCUUUUUCUUUUAAAAGUUCGGGUUGUGCUCAUGGGAAGAUCAACCAUUCCAUUCAGUUUGACUUCUUUAUCCCUGACUCCAGUUUGGGAUACUUCAUUACUACAAGUACAUUGCACAUUAUCUUCUGCAUUACUCAGUUUAUCAUCAUUACUAGCACCAGAGGGUGCAAGUUGACUGCAGGUCGCUUGACUUGAAUGUAACAAGACAGCAUCCUUUGUCACAGAAGGGGAACACGGGCUAGGUUUUUCAUCCACAACGAACUUAUGCCGAGCAGAAUCUUCCUGCUUGUCACCAGGAACCAGAUCAACAGAAAGCAGAUUGGUAACAUUCAUCAGGCCAUCGGAGUCCUGGCUUGUUAUUAAUUCAGCACCUAAUGAACUUCCUGAUCUCCAUGACAAUGCCAAAUUAUCUUGCAUGCAAGAAUCUUGUUGCUGUGAAUCUUGUCUCUUCUUUGAACAUGAACUAGCAUGCAAAGGAGAAUGUCUACUAUCAUGAAGGAUAGGUGACUUUUCAAUAGGGUUACCAUGUGCAGAAUUCACAACACAGUGCUCACCCACCAUUGUAUUGAUAUUAGACCGAGGAGUAUUAUCCAUGUUGUGAUCCAUGGAAGAGGUAGGACAAUCCUCCAUCUUGUUGUCAUUGGCCAGAUCAGUACCAUCCUCAGGAUCUCCAGUAUCCAAACUGCUAUUGUUAUUGACAUGAUUUUCUACAUGCAUCCUCAAAUUGUUUUCAGUCAAGACACUCUUAUUAUUUUCAUUAUUAAUCUCGUACUUUAAGGAAUCAUAAAUCUCAACUAUUUCCUUAACUGCUCGGACAAAAUCUGCCCCUUUCCCAUGUCGCUUAACAAGUAGAGAAUUUUUCUUCUCCUCAGUAAAUGCCUCAAGGUCAGCAUAGCUACAAAAGGCACUACAAUAUAAUAAAAAAACCCUGAUGUCAGUAAAAAAACAAUCGUCCAAGACUGGGAUUUAGUGAAUUGAGAAGUAAAUAUCCAAAUCUGACAGUUGCCAUGAGGUGCAACUAGUGCAAGUUUACCAGUGUCUUUAAGCUAACUCACUUCAAUGUCAUAAACUGAUGAGAUGCUAGUAUAGAACUGAACAUUAAGUAAGAACAGAGAUCACUACAUCAAGUUUUCAUAACAUUAAUUAAUACAAGAUUCCUAAGGGCAUGUGCAACAACCUCAAAGAGGAACUAAGAGCUGCUAGAUAAUCCAAACCAGAAGCUAGCCCAUUGCACGGUGAGGCGUUAAUCUAAGAAAUGUUGGAACUUGAGCAAGAGAAUGAGCUAAGGUAAUAAAAAAAAUUGUGCAAAGUGGAUGUCAACUGCAGCGAGGGAUUGGACACUUGCUAGCCAGGACCGGGAGCACCUGCCCUGGCUGGCAUUAAUUUAUUUGAUAGUGGGUCUCACCCGUUGUAAUGGAGAGGAGCUUUUACUUUGUGUACGUGGCAGAAAAAGAAAAAUUUUUAUCCUUGCCGGACUGUAUAUACUCUAAAAGGGCGCAUCUCUUUAGUUGGCCCUGACUUUCUGAGCACAUGAAGUUAUUCUUACAGACUUUUUGAGUUGCCUGGAAGUAGAUACUCUAAAUAAAAGCAUCCUGAUUCAUGGUAUGAGAUGAAAGCAUGCUAAGAUGGUAAGAUCACCACACUACAAAAGGGAUUCCACAAAAGUUAGCCAAACAAACCAAUUAAAUUUGGCAUUCAUCUAGCAUGGAGGGCAUUUCACAAACCAUCAUCAAAGGCUUUCAGUCCCAAGCAAGUUGAUUACAACACUAGCGUUGAGUAUACUGACAUCAUGUCACAUGAAUAAUUUUGUCUGGGAACCUUUUCACAGAAUAUUGUGCAUUUUUACCGUCUAUAGCUCCCUAAAUAAAUAAUCAUUAGCUGGGAUACUAAUUUGACAGCACAUGAUCAUCACCUAAUCUUCUUUGAUAGAUACCUUAAAAUUUGUAAAAUUGUGCAUGUAUUUUUUUAAAAAAAAUUGUAAACUUGUGCAUGCAUUUUUUUUUUAAAAUGUAAUUUUUGUAAGAUUGCAUUUGAAUUUUUCUUUAAAAUCCAAGUAAAAUCUUGGAAAAGGAUAAACUAAUUUACUAGGAUCCUAUGAACAUGUUAGACUAAAAAUAAAUAAUCCUAAAUUUGUAAGACACUACGUAGUCAUUAUCUCAACUAAAAAUAAAGAAAUCGUAAGACAUUAACCACUCCCAUACCCAUAUUUUAACACGAGAGGUGAUGCUCAUGCACAUAGUGCUCUACUAUGGAAAUCCAACUGGCUGGCAACUACAACGACCUUGAGUGACCAUAAGGUGAAAACCACUUAAAUCCCCGUUAUGCCCAGGAAUAUCUAACAGAUACUUCUAUAAAUUAUGGAAUUAUUAUGCAGCAAAAAACAUGGUCAGCUUGCAGUUAAAGAAGCAAACAUAGAGAUGCUACUUGUGUUCAUAACAUGAGGGAAUAUGUAUGCUACUUAUGUUCAUAAACAUGAGGGAAUAUGUGAAAAUAUAUUGGAGCAUAUGCACAUCAUUAUGUCAAAUCCAGUUUCAUGAAAGUCAAAUUAUUUAUGAAUAAUACAUCUUAAGAAAAGAGCUAUCUGGUUCAAGCAAACAAUGUGCAUGGGACAGAUAAGCAUAUAUACGGUAUCAAAAAGAAGAUCUUAAAUUCAAAGUGAUACUCACACUUGUUUAGUUCCAUAAAAGUAGACCAGCAACUUCUUUUUGGAUGCAGGAGGAGGAAGGUUCCAUUGUUCUGGUUCACUUAUCUGUAACAGCAUGAGCGUUCAUGAACUGAGAUAUUCGAUGAAGAUAUUCUCCAAUUUCAACUCACAACAAUGUGCAUGAUCAAGAGUAAACAAAAACAAGACUAGGAGUGCAUAAAUAGAACCAGAAAAUACAAGAAUCAGCUUCGCCCAGGAAAUCCCAGCAUAAUGGCUAGUAUUUAUGAAGUUAGCCUCAUUAAUGUUAGAGAAGAAGGGAAGAAUAACCAGACUGCCCUCAUUCCAUUCAGUCUAGGGUUACAAGUAUACAAAGUAUGGGCCGAAUGGGCCAUAAGGCCAACAUGGGCUAGAAAGGGAUAAACAUAAAUCUGGACAUAUUAACAGCCCCCCUCAAACUAAAAGUGGCUGCAAAGAAUCUAAAUUAGACACGUUUAGUUUGAGAAUAUGAAAUUGAUGUUGAUCUCUAGUCUGAGCCUUGGUGAAGAAAUCUGCAAGCUGAAGUUCAGAAGGUGUGUACUGAAGAUCAACAGUAGAUUGUUGACAGUGAGAUCGUAUGAAGGAGGCAUCAACACCAAUAUGCUUAGUGAGCUCAUGCUUGACUGGAUUGUUGGCAGUUUGAAUAGCACUAGUGUUUUCACAACGGAGAAUGGUAGGAUCAGCACAAGUAACUCCAAAAUCAGCCAAUAGCCAACAGAGCCAAAUAAUUUCUGCUGUUGUUGUGGCUCAAGCUCUUAGUUCAGCUUCAGUGCUAGAGCGGGAAACUGCAGUUUGCCUCUUGGACUUCCAUGCAAUUGGUGAGUCACCAAGGAAGAUACAGUAACCAGUCACAGAUCUUCGAUCAGUAUGAUCACUAGCCCAAAUAGCAUCAGAGUAAGCAUGGAGCACAGGCCAACUGGAUGCGGUAUAAAACAGUCGUUGAGAGAUUGUCCCCCACAGAUACCGCAGAACGCGAAGCAAAUGAGCAUAGUGAACUGUGGUAGGUGCACUGACAAACUGUGUGAGAAUGUGGAUUGCAUAAGCAAUGUCCGGUCUGGUAGCAGUGAGAUAGACCAGGCUACGAACAAGAUGGCGAUACCGUGUCGGAUCUGCAAGAGGAAGACCAUCUGAUGGCUUUAGAUGAAGAUGAAGCUCCAUAGGAGUAGCAGCACACCGAGUGUCAGUGAUGCCAGAACGAGCAAGCAAGUCUUGAAUAUACUUGGCUUGAGAGAGAUAAUAGCCAUCAGUAGUGGAGGUAAUUUCAAUGCCCAGAAAAUAGCUUAAGGAACCCAGAUCAGACAUCAUAAAUUGUUCACAAAGGCGCUCUUUAACAAAGGUAAUGUAUUCUGAAUCAUCCCCAGUGAUCAACAUGUCAUCAACAUAUAGCAGAAUUAAAGUGCGACCUCGUGGAGAGGUAUGAACAAACAGAGCUGGAUCAUGGUCACUCGGAGUGAAACCUGCAGCAGUAACAACUGAACUGAACCGCUGAAACCAAGCUCUCGGUGCUUGCUUGAGACCAUAAAGAGCACGCCUAAGAUGACAAACAUAUCCAGGAGGAACCUCAACUCCCAGCAGUGGAUGCAUAUAGAUAUUCUCUUGCAGAUCACCAUGAAGAAAAGCAUUCUUCACAUCCAUUUGAGAGAUAGUCCAUGAAUGAAUGGCAGCCACAGCAAUAAGAGUACGGACUGUGGUCAUAUGAGCAACAGGAGCAAAAGUCUCCUCAUAAUCAUGACCAUAGGACUGUUGGAAUCCCCGGGCAACUAAGCGAGCCUUGUACCUCUCAAUAGCUCGUACCUCUCAAUAGAGCCAUCGGCUUUGGUUUUAACCUUGUAUACCCACUUGCAGGUGAUGGGGACAACAUCACAAGGCAAUGGAACAACCUCCCAAGUACCCGUGCGUUGUAAAGCAUGAAGUUCAGCAGACAUGGCAUCUUGCCAAACAGGAAGAUGGACAGCUUCCUGAUAAGAAGAAGGCUCACAAACAGCACCAGCAGUGGGAAAACCAAGUCGAUCAAGGACAAUAAUAGUAGAACGAUCCCUAAGGUUAUAUGGUGGAGAAGAAGGUGGUGUUGGGACAGGAGAAGAAGUAUCGUCUAAAGGAGGACUAGAGGUAUGAGAAGGAAUAUGGGCUCGACGAGAAUAGUGAAAAGGAAAAGGUGUAACAGAUGAAGGUAGUGGUUGUGAAGUUGGAACAGAUAGCGGAGAUGGAGGUGUUGGAUCAAGAGAUGGAGCUGGUUCAAGUGAAUGGUAGAGGAAUCAAGAGAAGAUGGAACCGUGUCAAAAGAGGAAGGACAUGGUGAACUAGAUAUAGGUGGCAAGAAAAGGAAGGAGAGGGACUCAACAUAUGAGGAGGGUGGAGGAGUAGAAGAGUAAAAAUAUGGCUUAUUUUCAAGAAAAGUGACAUCACGAGAAAUACGAAUAUGAUGAGCUGAAGGGUCAUAACACUGAUAACCCUUGUGCUCAAGACUAUAACCAAGAAAAACGCACUCAACUGAUUGAGCUGUGAGCUUUGAGCAUUCAUGAGAAGGUAGAAGAACAUAACACGUGCAACCAAAAACACGAAGGUGGGUAUAUUUAGGAGAAGACCCAUGCAAGACUUCUCCAGGGCAUUUGCCCUGAAGAUGAGAUGAUGGCUGAAGAUUGAUGAGAUAUAUAGCAGUAGAUACAGCUUCAGCCCAAAAAUGAGAAGGCACAAAAGAGGAAAUGAGAAGAGUUCGUGCAGUUUCAAUGAUAUGAUGAUGCUUACGCUCAGCAACACCAUUUUGAGCAUGAGCACCAGGACAAGAGAGCUGAGGCAAGGUUCCUUCAGAAGAAAGAAGCUGACGAAAAGCAUUAAAAAGAUACUCUCCCCCAGAAUCGGAACGAAAGAUGCAAAUGGGAGAAGAAAAUUGAGUAUGAACCAUUUGAACAAAAGACUUGUAAAUGGAUAACAAUUAAGACCAAUGCUUCAUGAAAUAAAUCCAGGUGUAGCGAGAAUAAUCAUUAAUGAAUACGACAUAAUACUUGUGGCCACCUUUGAAGGCAAAAGGAGCAGGUCCCCAUACAUCAGAAUGUAAAAGAGCAAAAGGUUAAGUAGUUUUGGAGUCACGAGAGGGAUAAGGAAGUUGAAUCUGUUUCCCUAGUUUACAACCAGUACAUUCAAAAGAGCGAUCAAUUGAUACAUGACCAAGAACACCCUGCUUGACUAAGGUAGACAGACGUGAGCCACACAAAUGACCUAAGCGAUGAUGCCAUUGAGGGAAAGUGGCCGCAAUAGAAGCUGAUGACGAUGAUGCAAAAGAAGGUGAUGGCGGCAACCGAAGAUGAUCAAGGAUGUAGAGACGACGGCCAGUACCAAGAGUGCUCGGGUUUGCCGAUCCUGAAUAAGACAAGAGGUGGCAUCAAACCCAAUAACACAAUUCAUAUCAGCUAGUUGGCCAAUAGAAAUAAGAUUCAUGGAAAGUUUUGGCACAAGAGAAACAUCAGAAACAUCAAAAUCAGAAGUGACAAGAUUUCUCUGAUGAGUAAUUGUGCAAAAGUUACCAUCAGCGGUCUGAACAGAACGAGAACAAGUAUCUGCGAUUGGCUGACAAGAAUCCAAAUGAGAGAUAUCGGAAGUCAUAUGAAAAGAAGCUCCGGAAUCCAACACCCAAAAACUAGUACCUGGGUGCGAUGUGGAGGACAAGGAGCUAGCUGACAUAUAUGCACUGACUGGAGCAGAGGUGGUGCUGCUAGAUUGCUGUUGGAACUGAGGUGCUGAGUGAAGUUGGAACUGAGGUGCUACUGCUUGUUGGAACUGAGGUGUUGUUGCUUGGAACUGUGGUGCAGCUACUGCUUGGGUGCUAGAAGAAGCUGCAAGUGGCCCCCGGCGUGAAGCAGCACGCUUUGCUCGCAUUUCAGCCAAGAGAUGAGGAUACUUCUUGAAACACCGUUCAUCUGGAUGAUUCAUCCUGCCACAGUGGCUGCAAGGAGUCUUCUGAGAGGUGGCUGGUGCUGCAACCGAAACAGACAGGGAAGGAGCAGCUAGCACUGAAUGCUGAGACACUGGAGCAGUAAGAGUUUUAAGGCGCGUCUCCUCAGCCAUGAGAGCAGAUAGUGCUUCAGACAAUGUAGGAAGAGUAGGUCUCCCCAAAAGCUGAACACGAAUGGGUUCAAACUCAGACCGCAGACCCAUCACAAAGUCAAACAUAGUAUUCGCUGAUCAUACUUGUCUCUGUCAGUCCAAGAUGGGACACAAUCCUUGCAUAAGGGAGAAGGCUUGGGAACCAUUGAAUCAAGCUGGCGUGAUAUCUUAGUGAAGGCACUGUAAUACUCCUCAACCGACAUGUCCUGCUGUUGGAGAUGAUGAAGGUUCUGGCGAAGUGAAUAGCGAAGGGCCGAGCUGCUUUGUUGAUAGCAACCUUUCAGGUAGUCCCACAUCUCUUUUGCAGUAUUGUGAUCCUCAAGACAGGAGUGAAUGCUCAGAUCAAUACUCAUGCAGAUAGUUGCCAUUACCUGAUCAUCUUCAAGGUUCCAAGCUUUGACCUCUUUAUCAUUAGUGGCUGGUGGUGGGGCAUCAGUGAGAUGUGAGGCAAGAUCAGCAGAUUGCAGCAGCAUUUUGAGAGAGAAAGCCCAUUCUCUGUAGUUUGAUCCAUUGAGCUUCACAUCCAUGACAGGAGCACCAAAUGAAAAGGGUGCAAGAGUGGUAGAAGGAGCAGCAGAUGACCCCAUGACAGUAAGAAGAGGGACGAGGCUGACGUUGGAGGGGUGGACGCCACAGCAGCACAAACAGCAGCACGAACUCCCUCUGUUGCUGGUUAGACGGAGAGGAGAGGAGGGGCGGCGACUGAAUCAGAGACACAGACGUACAGGGGAUGAGGAGCGGCACCUCAAUCGGCGCUGCAGAGAGGGAGGGGCGCCGCCUCGACCGGCAAUGCAGAGGGUGAGGGUGCUGCCUCAAUUGGCAAUGCAGAGGGGAAGAGGCACCGUCUCUACCGGCGACACAGACGCCGCGGGAACAGGCGGCGCAACGGAGGGAGAGCCACAAUCAGGUGGCAGGGAGGGUGUGCCGCAGGAUCCUGUCAGCAGCAGGCUCGCCGGCGAAGAGAAGCUUGCCGGCAGAGAGAGGCUGCAAGCGGUGGCGGCGUCGGGGAGAACCAGGCUCUGUUACCAUGUUAGAGAAGAAGGGAAGAAUAACCAGACUGCCCUCGUUCCAUUCAGUCUAGGGUUACAAGUAUACAAAGUAUGGGCCGAAUGGGCCAUAAGGCCAACAUGGGCCAGAAAGGGAUAAACAUAAAUCUGUACGUAUUAACAAUUAACACGCCAUACAAACAAGAAAAAAAACUGGUUUGCUGAAAUAACACCAAAGAACUUCUGGAAGAAUAGAGAUGUUAUUAUUUAUUAAAAGAAACUUUUGGAGAGCAAAGGCAAAGAAAUGUGUCGUAGCUGAAGGAAAGUAACUGUCUAUCACUUUUGAGUUAUGACCCAUGAAAUCUCAUGGAAAAAUCUAGGACCAUAGGUUAAUAUCGAAGUUAGUGAUGAUUGACAAAUGACAAGGAUAUCCUUUUUAUAUUAACACCUAAUUAAUAUAUAUAACUUAAUGAAAUGGCGUGUAGCUCUCCUGCAUGUUUGAGAAAAAAAAAUAUAACUAAUGGGCAACUCCAAAAUCCAACAUGAAAAAGUAAGAAAUCCAGAAACAUAUAACAGCAGGAAAAUGAGAAGCAAGUUAUUGACAGAAAAUAUCUAGAGAAAUUCUUAUUCACAACAGAGGCCCCAAUUUAAGUGUGGGACAAACUGCAUAAAAUUCUAGACAGAUGUGUCCAAUAUUAAGUCUCGUCUAAUAAUUGAUAGGGCUUAUUUCCUCAUCACAUACGGACUCAUUUCCAAAAUAAAGGUAAACGAACAAGCAGCAUUAUAUCAAGACUAUAUCCAACCUCACUUCUUAAUGCUCAGAAUAGUAAUCGAUUGGCAAAGUUAACUGUGCCUUGAGAUCUAUAAAUGUUGGCAUGGACUAGAUAUUUGAUAAACUAAUAUAUCGAAUGAACAAAACAAACCAUAUAUCUGUUACUUCAAUGGGAAGUUAACAUCAAAUCUAGAUCUAAACCCCCACACUCAUGACAAAGCAAACAAGAAUUUUAUCAAACCAAUUCAUGGUGGCCACCAACCUUAUGAGCCAAAAUCACCAAGGAGCUAAAUUAUGCCAGGAGAAACUUCAAACAAACCAAGUAAGAGUAGUGCAAGGUUGGCCCACCUUCAAACGCAGAGAGAGUAUAAGGAUCGACACAAUGACAAAUCAUCUUUUAAAACUAUUGUAUUUCCAUAAAUGAAAACAUUAGUGGUUGCUACCAAAUCUUCACAGUUCAAGACUUCAAGUAGAUAAUAUAAUUGUUAGAGGAUCAAACUGCCAAGGGAUACAGAGCAGUAUGCAAGCAUUAAAAAUAACAAAGCCAACUAUCAAAGAACCAUCUGAACUUCAUAGUUUCAUAUGCACAAGAUAACUGCAUGAGUUUAUUGCACAUAUUCCAUCUGCUGUAAGGGUUACUAGGUGAGUAGAGAUAACCACGGCGCGAGUCUUCUAAUGAGAUAUAAUAGUACAUGGAACCAAACAGGUAAUCACCAUGUUCCAUCGAAGUACACAGCCUAAAUCAUUCAGAAACCACUGAAGCCCACAUGUUGGUACUAACAAGCAAAAAUUUAACAUCUCCUCAUUCACCUAAAGGACCAGGGUUUACCUAAAAUAUAGCCCUUGCCGACAUGUGGCAUAAGGAACCAACAGUUGCUCCAACAAACAUCAUUGGCCUACUACAUCUUCAUUAAUUCCAAAGUUAAACAAUCUCCCAUAUACUGCCCAAUUUAAUUCUACAACCCCGUUAGCCAGAAAGAAAGAGAUCUUGAUUGCAGUAGCCAUUCACUUAUCAAGGCAAUCAAUAUUCGUUAAAUACAUCAAAUUGCAGAGAGAAAUCAUAGCUAGGACAUGGAAGUAGCAGAAACAUACUAAGUGUUCAAAACUUCUAUUCACUGGUGAGCUACUCACCACUAAUCUAUAUGCCGAGAAAACCCUAAACAAUGCCAAGCUUAACUAAACACACCAAAAAAACCACAAAAAACUAGUACAGAUUAAUAAAAGGCUGCCAAAUCACAAUGAGCAGGGCGUACAAAACUUAACUUUUAGUCUGGAUCAACAUAGUACGGUACAAAAAUCUACUCCCAUCAAACAACGAACCCUAAGCGAGCUCUUCGACUACAGUUAGCAUCCGCAAAUGCAAGGGGUGCCGGAUCAGAGAGAACAAGCGGCCAGAGCCACUCACCAUGGCAGGCCACGCCGGGAAGCCCUUCAUCUUAGCGAGCACGAGGUCGCCCACCUUCCACUGCGCCGCCGCGGCAGCUGCGGCAGCAGCCGCGGCCGCGGCCGCACCGCGCUUCUUACGGGCCGGCGGCAUCGCUGACCCUCCCGCCCACCCGCCACCGGCGGUCAGAGGGCGCCUCCGUUGCGUCUAGUGCCAGGGGCGGCGGCGCCGCCGGGUGCUGGGGCGGAAGCGGGUCCAGACUUGGUGGCGGCGGCGGCGGCGGCGGCGAGAGAGGCAGGAGGCAUGUGGCGCCGGAGUGGGGGAUGCGGAGUCCGGUUGGCUUCCAGAAUUCUCCCUUCCGAUUUGAUUUUACUGGCGCUCUUUCCCAAUUUUUUGUCAAUUUUUUUCGGUGCUUUCAGGAGUUUUUUUUUUUAGGGCUGCUUUCAGGAGUUAUUAGGAGUUCCGUUUGGUGAGAAAGAGAGCAAGAAGCCUAGGAUUGAAGGCUAGAGGUGCCCAAUAGCACUUGUAAUUUUAAUUUUUUUUCUCGAUGACCUGUAGGAUCGUGACGAUCCUAAACUAGUUUAUAGCCUUUUCAUCUUGCUGCGAAAGGGUAAAAAUCAACAUUUUAAAUAGCAAACUAUAACUUUUUUGGAGAAUCCUACAGGGAACUCUUGAUCGUGAUACUUGGUGGUGAAUCCUUGAAUCAUAAAAUUCCUAGUCAAUUUGUGCAAGUCCUAAACCAAAACUAACAAGCGGGCAAGCUCAAUGGACAAGCCUGCACGGUGCACCUCCCAUGUUACUAGGGUGGAAAUGACAAGUGAAGGCUACAGUUCUCUUGAGCUUAGAACUGCCAUACAAUGCUCUAAAAACAUCCGUACAUAAUCUGGUUCCUGUGAACUACUAUCAACCUCAAUACUUAAAAACAAACAGCAAAUUAAAGAACAUAGAAGCAUUCUUGUCCUAUGGAACAUCACAUUCUCGAGUCACCAUGGCCAUGCUAGGUACAGUGCUUAGUGCAUCAUUCGUUGAUUACAGAGAAACCAUGGGAAAAAUCGAUUGCUGACAAUAAACCAUGAUGAGGCCUGGGCUGCUGAAGGUAAAUACAUGUUCUUCAUUCCUUCUGUGAUUCUGUCCUUCAGGAAAUCACAUGGACACGCAUUGCCAGGAAUUCAGAAACUGCACAGCUCGUUGUAUAGAAGACUCAAACUUUAUCAGCAGCAUCCAGCGACGUGCCCUCCGAACUUCUGACAGCAGCCAGCUUCUCAGCUAAUCUUUGUUCCAGCGCCCGUUGACCCCUCUCUCUGCAAUGAGAUAAACAAUCUUUUGACAGACUGAAUAGUGCUUUGUGAAACAAGCAACAGGCAACAGAGUUGUAUCAUAUUAAACCACCAACUGGAGCUACAAGCUAAUGCAACAAUAGAACUAAAACUAAAUAUAACAGUCAGAGGGAGCAAAUGGUGACUCCACUCUAGUUCACCAACUUGCAACUGCAACUAUGUAGUGUACAGAAUCCAUGAGGUAGAAUGCAGUAUCAUGACUUGAAACCAGAUGUGAAUGGUAGCAGCAUACUCCAGAAAUGCUACUUAGUGAAAAAAGCAGUGCAAUGGAAGCAAUAUGAUGGGUGUUGCUCGCAUUUAAGGACUGUGUGUGGACAAAAUCGUAUGAGCAGGAAAAAAUUACAAGCGGGCAAAAAUUAUGCACUGAUAAAACUGCAGAGAGCCACAAAAGCUAACCUCCUCCUGUUUGCCUCAAUCGAAUCGGAACCAGGUAAUGGCGAGGUAUCUAAUGUUUGUCCCCUAGCGUCAGAUCUUUCGGAUCUUCCACAAAGGAGCCUAUGGAAUAUAGAUGCUAUUGGGUCCAGAAUUGGUCUGCAUGUUCCAAUAAAUUUGUCAGGAGAUGCUUCAGUGCAAAAUAGCUUAGAGCUUCUAUAAAGGGAAAAUGUACUACCUUAGAAAUUCAGGGAAGAAGCUUGAGAAAGAGAACUCCUCACUUGGGUCUCCUUUCAUGCCUGUCUCAAGUCUCUUUUGGAAGUACCGCAGGUAAAUCCAACUCAUAUAAAUGCCAAACAGCAAAACUGGGAGAUAAGACAUCAAGUCCUUUACAAAGAAGCUUACAGCAAUUGAGAUCAGUGCAACAAGAGAUGGAAUCCACUGAAUACCCAGAAAAAAAAGAUUGUUAGCGAACAAUAAUGAUAGAAUGGAAACUAGAGUUAUUCAUUGAGGAUUGAAGAAACAGACCUUUGCCUUGAUCUUUAGCACGAAAAGGUUAAGUUCUUGAUCUGGUAAAAGCUGUUUGAUGCCCACCAACAAUCCUGAAAGAACUCCAUAGAAUCCAGAAAGAGGAGUAUAGCUGAAAAAUCAGACAGUAAGAACACUAAAGUAGGACUUAAUAUGAAACAUCAAACAACAUGCUCAUAAGCUUGUAGAGAAAUACAGUACUUACAGGUAGAUCUCUUGCUGAGUUAUAUAGUACAGCACGAUAGCAGUUAUGAAGACACACGCUGAAGUUGAAAAGUUGACAAUAAAGAUGAACUUUGAUAAUUCUUUUGAACCCCAUAAAGGCUCUAACAGCUUCCCAAACAAGAGAAGACCAAUGAUGCUAACAAUCACCUGGAAGAGUAUUGAGCGUGUGAGUUUGAGAGAGCUCUUGAAAAAAAUGAUAUAGUUGUAAACAAGUUUAUAAUACUUGAAAAUUAUGACCAGAAGUUGAAUCCACAAAUGUGAUGAUAUACUUCAUUUAACACACAAACAGCAAAUGGCAGAUCAAACACUCCAAGGCAAAACAGCUAUAAAAAAAGACAGCAGUCCCUAAGAUGACAUUCAAGUUUACAAUGAACAUCUAGAAGAAUUCUCAGUAACAACUAACAAGAACCAUCCUAUAUGUCCACCAUCCUAUAACAAGAGAAAGCUGGAAGCAAAUUAAGUCAGUGUUUCUCCUAGUUUGAGUGAUAUAUGGUUACAUCCAAACAAGUAUACACAAACAAAUUGUACUAUAGUGAUAGAAACCUAUCUAAAAGUGUCAUUAGCUCAUCCAGGUCAUUAAGAGUUUCGGGCUAGCUGCUUCUGGUGAUAGAAACCUAUCUAAAAGUGCCAUUAGCUCAUUUAUAGGAUUUGGAUGUACUUCCCUUUCACAAAAAAGUGAAAUAUGGCCAUGGAAACAAUGUCAUUUCAGGUGAAUUUAGUUCCACUAGUCAUCUUUAGAUAAAAAGUAAAGGACUGAGCGUAAGGACGGUUAUGAGGUAAAUAAGUUCAGAAUUAGGUGCGCUGGCCUCUGGAUAAAUGAUAGGAUGAAAUAAAUUACCCCCGGAAUUGUUUGCUCCACAUAGCCAGCAGUUAUCAGGUUCCAAGCAAAAGGGAUCGUCCUGCAGAAAAAAAAAUAGUUUUGAAAAAAUGAAACUGCUGAAAAAUCAACAUUUCACAUUUGGUUUAGUGAUUCUUUCUUUAGAGAAUAUCUUCAUAGUUUAAAACAUUUUUCUAUGGGCACCAGAUGAAAUGCUGAAUACAAUCUAGUGGUGAGACCGUGAGACCAACAUGUCUUUAAUCUAACACACUGACUAAUCGUUAUCAUUACAAUAACUCAGCAUCUUUAACCUGCAUUCCAAAUGGAUGUGCUGGUUACCAAUAUUAGUAGCUCUCAUUAACAGUCAGUAUUGGCACACCUCAGAGGGUAAUUAUGAAACAACUUUAAGUCAUCCAGUGGAAAAUCAAAACAGAGGUAACUACGAAACAGAUCUAGGGCAAACUAGGAGCCAAGCAGCUAGUAAAAGAUCUUGCUGGGUACAGAAUCCCAAUGCCUUGGAGGUCUGAGAUUCUACCUUGCGGGAAUAAGCGCGAGAUAGGCUACAGCCGACGGGAACAGCUGUACUACAAGGUGCACGAGGAGCAAUAUGACGGCGAGGCCCUUGCACAGCUUCGUGUAUCCUCUGAAGAAGCUCCCACUCUGCAUUUGUGAAACACGCCGCAUCUAAUCAGUGACAAACGCAAAGGCGUUCCGUAAUUUUCGACCAUAAUUCCGCCGCUAGCCAUCAUCUAGCAAAGUAACUAAGCUGCAGAGAAGAGCACACGAACACACUGGGAAAUUGGAACCAAAUUAAUCUUAUAUAUGACAGAAUAUCGUGGAUCAGACGGCACAGGGGGCGCCCGGUUCGAAGCACCCCCCAAACUGACAGGCAUAUGACCGGAUCUAGAGAGAGAGAGAGAGAGAGAGAGAGAAGAGAGAUGAGAUGGGAGAGAGAAUAGUACCCCGGCAGGAAGCGAGGGCGGCGGAGGGGCGCUGCCGCUCAUCAUGGUGGCGGCGGCCGUCACCCGACGAGAUCCGGAGCACCGUUACUGCACCCGCUGGAGCGAUUCGCCGCCCCGGAUUCGGGAGAAUACCUGGCUGCUUGGUUUCUCGCUCGGGAUCGCAGUGGAAGGGCUCUGUACUGUGGAGAAUUGGCGGUGGCGGAGUGCAGAGCAAGCAAAGCAGGCAGUUGGGUUCGGGGUUUGGAGAGAGAGAGCAGGUUUGGAGACGUUCCGACUGUUAACGGCAGAUUUGCCUAACCAAGUGCCACCAAGUGCCUGGAUCCUCUCUUCUUCGAGCUUAAUUGCAAAAAACCACCUCAUAAGUCAGUAACGAUAAGAAGGGUUACAAAACAAGUAUCCAGAGGCCAAUUUUUAGAAAGAAUGACGAGCUGAAGGACAGAAAACCACGAAGGUGCAACUGCAACGAAGUUUCAGGAGGCUAGUGUUUUAAGUGUUUUGCCAACUGUCGUUUCAUCAUCCAAUUUCCUGUCACAAAUCACAAGGAUAUCGCAAAAGCUAUUCAGAUCUCGGACUAUCAGAGGUGAAAGGAUAAAAACAGUUCAGAGUAUGCAAGUUAAAGUCCAAUCAUGACUCCACAGAUACAUUUCAUUGCAUUUCAUCAUUUCAAUUGAAUACAGUCAAUAGUUAAAUACAGACGACUACGAAUCGACAAAUCUGGACUAGCACAAGGUGAAAACUUCUGUGAAAAGAACAUUCUGCGCCGUCAUUCCCACUCGAUCAAACCUUGCGCCAGACCAGCUUUGCCAUGCCACCUGUGUGCAACUUAUGAUCACUAGCUGCAAAGCAACUGUGCUUCAUAGCAAUACAAUUGGAGUACACGAGUCAGUAGGAUAUAUAUUAGCCAUAGCUCGCUCCACAGUAGAAGCAAUAGGGCCAGGAAGAGGGAUGGAAGUCACAACACACACAAACACACACGCUAAGCAUUCAUGAUAUGGCACCACAAAAGCACCGAUGUAGGAAACACUUUACAAUGAAAAAGAAACAAGGAACUCCUCUUCUAGUCUCAUCUGGGCAGCCAUUAGAUUCUUGGUUUCACGCGUCUUCCAUUGGCAUCGCCACCAUCAAGGACUUCAGUUGAAUACAAGCAGGGAGUGACAGCGUGCUCUCCUACCUUGGCCACAUACUCGAGAAGCUCGGUCAGAAGAGAUGGGCAGCUUUGCUGCAAAUAAUCAAACCCAUCGGUUUGCAUGACAGCUACAAAAAAAUAAACAUGGUUAAGCAGAUGUUGACAUAUCAAAUCAAAGUAACUAUUUACGGUCCAUCAUUAAGGUGAUAUGUCAAUGACAUAACAUGCAUCUAUCCAAUACUAGAAUAUCAGUUUCCAUGAUGUGUGUUCACACUUCACAGCAACUAAAAACAUUACAAGCAACAAAGUGCAUAAAAUUUUGACUUUUGAAAGAUGGUACUGAAACGUAUGCUGCAGGGUGUAAAGUUCUAAUUAUUAUUUUGCAGCAAACAUUGCACAUAACAAAUGAUAUAAUCAGUAACUAGUCAGCCAAAAGUAAGAAAGGAACACUUGAUUAUGACUAAUAAAAUAAGAUGUUUUCUGACAAGCUGUCCUCAAAUUGUCUUGAGCUCCAGUGAAACACCAUCCCACAAUUUACGAGCAGACCAAAAUUGGCUGACUGGUUGAUAGAACUAAAAAUAAUGCACCAUGGUUUCCUAUGAAAUAAAAAAAUUCAGAAGUAGCACAAUUCAAGCAAACUGGCUUAAAAUCUUUACCAAUUAUGACCGGCCAUCAUACUAGCAAACAAAUGUGUUCCUCAGUUUAAUGCACAAAAGCAAUGAGAGACUAGCCCAAGGAGUACUAAAAGGUGCUGUGGCAGUGGGACUCCCACAGGUAAUAAGAAGCUAGAAAAUUGAAACCCUAUUUGAAGCCUUAACAAAUUAUAAUCAAACUUCUGUGCUCAUGAAAACUGUGAUGCAUGCAGCAUGCCUGACAUAUCGCUGCAUUCAUCAGCACCAAACUAAGAAAUUGGAUGUAACAUGCGGCAAAGGUGCCUAAUCCUGAAAACAGUGUAAUAUAUAACCAGUUGUUGAUGCAUCAUAGGCCUCUCCAAUCUCCAAUAUAGUGUUAUGCCUAAUAUUUCCAAGACCAGUGCAGACAGGCAAUAAUAUAUUGCUACAGUUUAUUUUUCAGCGCACCACAUGAAUGUGAUCCUAGAAUAAGGAUGGCUAUUCAUCUGCUCAUAAAACUACAUAGCAACUAAGACAGGUACAUCCUCAAUUUAACCUUCUAGAGCCAACAGCUUCCAUGAGAAAUCAAUGUAAAAUAAGUCAAGAUUUGGAAAAUUGGUACUUACCUUUCAAAUUCUCAGGCAGAGCCACGAAUUUCAAGCAAACAGUUUUUAGCUGGUAACAGUGGUGCUGUUCAGCCAGCGCCAAAGUGUUGGCAACUGUAUUUAUAGCAACAUCUUCACACAGCUUAAGUUCACAGAGCAACUUUAGUCUCUCCAAUGCAUAACGGUCCGCAGCAGCAAGUAAAUGCUGAGCCAUCAAGGUGGACACCCAAGUUGUAUUUACACCAGUAAGCUCUUCAAUAUCCGGCAACUCAUCCCAAUACAUGAAAUGGAGUAAAGCCUGCAAAAUUCAAUGUGUAGUAAUUCAGAUUGAGUAAGUUGCUACAUGUUGACAAGCAAGGAAACCAAGUACAACAUGCUUCUGAGGGACAAAGGGAAUGUAAAGCUUAGUGAACAUACAAGGAACCCAUCAACAAUGAAUCAUACAAUGGGAUCAAGUAACACUAGAUGAGCUUGACCCCUUUGCUAUAGCUAUUAAGUGAAACUGAGAAAUGCUUGCUAGUAGCAUAUAUUGCAUCACUGAAAUAUCCUAAAAAUGGUGGCCAACAUGCAACUUCAGUAAGCAAUCAUCAAACAGAACAUCAGCAGCGUGUUCUACUUUAUUUACUUUCUCAGACAUUCCAAAGGCAAUAUAAGGAAAGCCUUUGCUUGCUUGAGUACUGAUUUAAGAAUUCUACAAGUUGGCAUAGUUAAACCAUGUCUAUGUUCUGGUCAUUUAUAUUAUAUGCUGUUAAUAGCAAUAUGUGUGGAUUUUUUUAAACAAAUAUCAUGGAAUCAUAGUAGCUCGGAGAGAUUAUCUCGAGACAUGACAGUACAAAACCAAAGAAAAUAGACAGCACAAAAAACAUGUAACAAAACAAGGAGCGAAGGGGAUUACCUUGAAUACUGGAGCCUCCAUGUCUUCGAUCUUUAUGCACUUCAUAUUCUUAUCUUUCAUGGGACCAAAAAGUUGUGCCCUGAAUACCGGAGACCGGGCUGAAAGAACAACCUUGUGGGCAGGAAACAUCUCUCCAUCAACUUCGAAUGUGAUGUCAGUUCUCUUUCCACUUGUCAGCAGCUGACCAAUAUGUUGAGCCAUGUUGGAUGGCGGUACUGGUAUUGUGUAUAUCUUUGGUCCUUCAGUGUGUGAUUGCACAACACCAACAGUGCAGUUCACUAAAAGGCAAUCAUCUUUAAGAUAGUCUGAUGUUUCCAGGGCAGAUCGUUUGAAGAAACGCUUGUAGCCCCUGCAUGCACAUAAAGAUAAGUUACUUUCCAUAACUAGGGAACAGAAAGAAUAACCCAGAAAAGAGGCCAUAAAACAGCCACGCAGACAGUUAAACAGGAUAGCAGAUGAAAUAAUGCGCAAUCAAGGAACUACCACGAGAUCAAUGAUCUGCACAUAAAAAACUGAAAAUAAAAGUAAUGUCUUAUGUGUUGUCUCAAUUGAUCAUUGCCUUGUAUAUGUAGAACUAACUUAUAUCUCAUCAGUAAAGUAAGAUUCCAACGCUGAAUGCCAAAUAUAAGGACAGAAGGUGCAAGCAAUUUAAGAAACCAAGAAUCACAUAACUACAAAGGCAAUCUCAUCCGACAAAAUGUUCGCAGAGUAGCCCUCAUAUUUUGAUACAGACAUUACAAAAGUGCACAUUAGCACCACAAACAUCAAAAACUGCAUGUUAGCAAUGAGAAAGCAACAAUUUGUGACAGAUAUACAUGGCUCAAGCACCCAACCAUGUCUUUCUUUGCCCCAAACUCAAAAAUUCUGAAAAAUACAUGGCUCAAGCAAUUGCAUUAAUGAUGUCAAAAUAAACAAAUUAUCCUAAAGCUAUUCAAUCUAAGGCAAUUUCAAACAGAACUGGAAGCAUGGUCCUUUUCUUAAUCCAGAAUCAUCAAAUCAAAACAUAUGGCCCAACUAAUAACAAUUUGAGAACCAGAUACACAUGCAGUGGUUCCAACAUAACUCUACACCACUUGUCGCCCCAUUGAAUCACAAAAUAACAAGGCAAAAACAGAUAAUAGGUUGUGCAUCUAGACCAGUUAAGACACUGUAUAUCCACAAACCAAAGUGUCAGAAGCAAGCGCCCUCAUAGAGCAAUCAAACAACUCAUGAUAUGAAGCCAACUAGCCAAUUGCAGGCACAGCAAAUCGAAUUCGAAACCAUCAACAAACAUGCAGAACCAUGCCUAUAGAUACAACUAAAUGAUCAAAGCCCGUAGAAUUAUCUCAACAAACUGAAUCCACUACAAUUUUCCAGCGAACCAAACAACCAAGCCAUUUAUCGUAAUGAACAAAAGUAACUAAUCGGAUAGCAAUCAUUCAGGAUAAAAGACAGCCACUCAGUUUGGAAUUUUGGGGCAUUAAAAAUAAGAAGAAUUCACCUAAGAACAUACUAAACACAAAUAGAGUGGCAAAUCUACUAAUCUAGUACCUAGAAGGGCUACCAGACACUAGUACCUAAAAACACAAAUUGACUGAUAAACCUAGAAGGGCUACCAGCCUACCAUGUACAUCAACAUCUCUCAAAUUUCCAACAUACAACCACGUUUCACCAACAUGCACAUGUGACAUGCAUCCUAGAGCGCAUAUAGCAGUUCCUACUCAAGAGAAUGAUCAAAUUAGCAAACUGCAAUUCAACAGGCCAGUUCACUUCCCCAGACACCACAAAUCUAUGCGGCAUGCAACCCCAUAUAACACAUGCACAGGCUCAGGAAGACUCACCACAUGCUGCCGCGGUACUUGAGGGUGUAGGGGCCGCUCUCGAGGGACCUCCCAAAGUGGGUGUGCACCUUGUCCUGCCCCUUGCCGCUCUGGUCGACGAGCGUGAGCUCGAAGAGCGCGCGCACAUCUGUGCCCUCGCUGGCGAGGGCUAUGAAGAGCGAGACGUAGGCGGCGCCGUCCUCCCCGCUCUUCCCGUCGGGAUAGAAGUAGAUCGCCCAGUCGAAUCCCCCCACGGAGAAGGACUCGGAGGCGAUGUACUUCCCCACGCCGAUACCCUUGGAGAGGGAGUAGCCGUCGAUCUUGAAGUGGUGCGACCCGUUCACCGUCUUGGUCACCGACGUGGACGCCGUCUCGGAGGGGGCCGAGGAAGGGGAGGCGGAGGAGGAGGACGCGGCGACCGGCGGGAACGGCCGCCCCGCGGCGGCGCCGGCGGGGGAGGAGGACGGGCCGCCUCGGCAGACACGGCCGGCGCCCAUCGGCGGGGGUCAAGAUCAGGCUAGGGUUCCGCCCCGAGCGGCAGCGAUUCGGCACGGAUCGGACGGAUCGGGGCGGGGCGCGCCGGAUUCCGACGCGGCGGCGUGGGGAUUCGGGGUGUGGGGGAGAUCGAUUUGGGGGAAUUUUGGGGAGGAAAUGAUGCGAUGACGAGACGGGGGGAGGGAGGAAGACGAGGAGGUGGUGGUGUUUGGUUUUGUUUGGUCCGGGUUGGGUUUGGGACUUUGGGUGGGUUAGUGGGUAAUAAAAGCGGCUUGGGGGUUGGGAGGGUUGGGGCCGUUGCCUUGCGAGACUUGCCGACUAGGCCAGUCGGCCCGGGACGAGACUCGAGUUGGAGAUGCCGCGCCGACCUGGCCGCAAACAAGCUGCCAUUACUCGUGCGCCGCCGGAUGUACCUGGCAUAGUCACAAGCGUUAAUGCCCGCGCCAACAAUUAUCUACAAUAAUUCUACUUGUAUGGCUAGAUCAAUAAGUAAAGCCAACUCGGCAUACUGCAAUGCCAACCAGUGCGUACCCUCAAAAAAAAAACAAGCGUUCCAUUCUAACCAAAGGUGGAUGUCCUAAUAAAAUGAUACUCCGUAUAAAAUGAUUUAUAUGAUUGUGUCAAGUGAAAGGGUCUAGAGCUGAGUGGUUGGGUUCCAAUAUUUGCCCAACCAAAUUAUCAUGCUUAAAAAGUUUGAUUAUCAGUUGGUUCAUUACUAAGAAUUCGGUACACUGUGAAAGGGCCUCUAGCAUAGUAGUUAAAGCACCUGAGUAGCAUCCAACAGACCAGAGUUCGACUCCAUGUGAGAGCGAAUUAAACAAACCUGGAAUAAAAAAUAUUAAAAAAUAGGUUUACUGACUUCGGUCAAAAAAAAUUGCACACCAAUGUUUUUAGCCAAAUCAUGGCAAGAUAUUAGAAACCUCUUGAAGGAAAAAAGUAUACUAAACCAAGUGAAUACCUAAAUUUCUUACCCUAGUUUUGGUAUGCCUUGAUUUUGGCAUGCCCUCAUUUUGGCUGGGCAAAAAUUGGGAGCAAACCAAGUAUGCUCUUACUUUAGCUAUAGAUAAGCAUGGUGUGGUAUGGCCCUAUGGGGUAGAGGUGUGAUUUGAGAGUCAUUUCUAAUUCUAGACUACACAAAACUUGACCUUUUAGCAAGCUUUACAGGGGUUAAGUUCAAUAUUUGACGCGGAGCAUUACACUAUGUUGUCUCUUAACGCUACAUGUCUAUCUAGAAUUGAGAAUUGCAUCCAUCGUCAUGUUUAAAUUAUUGCCACAUUUUUUGCUAUUUAUGAAAUAGCAUAGGCAAAACUCUUUUUUCUCAUAUUAUUUUCCUCCCACGAUGUUUUUCUUGAUUUGCAUCAUCCUUUUAUUACAUGUACCGUGCAAAUAAUCAUUAUUUUUAGUUAGACCAAUCGCAUCUAAUAGGAGCGCAUGUUUAAUCAUCAUUAAACUCUUGUUUGGAUACACUCAUUUCCUCACUAUAAAUUGACGGGGAUUAUGAAAUAUCCAUACAAAGUCUAAGUUGGACUGUCCAACUCUAUCUUGAAGCUCUCUAGCAACAAAAUAUGCAGAUGAUAUUUUGAAAAAAACGCGUGAGGAGCAAUGACAACACGCCUCCACAACUCUACCGUACUUCCAAUUCUUAUAACACCUUCCAUAUACAUUAAUAUCUUAAAAAUUUUCUAGAACAUAAUAAUAUGGUUCGAUUAGUUUUGAAAAAACAAAGAUCAUAUUUAGGACUGCCUUUGCGCAGCGCAACCAAUCCAAGCCAACGUAGCUCGAAACGUGUCAUGUCCAUGCCACCUCCAGCUGUGCACUGGCUCCCACAAUGUGGCAUGGGUGAUUUGCACAAAACGGUCAUGCAGCGUGUGCUUUCUCACUGGACAGUGGGGCCAAGCUGCGCCCCGAUAAAUACGGGACUUGCAAUUAUGUUGAUGCUUGCUUCGUUAACCUCCAAGUCCGCCAGUCCCCGCUUGCCAUCUGUCCGUCAACUUGUAAUCACUCUAGCCCUAAUCACCACCUCCACCGUAGCACUGACCUACAAGGUGACCCCAGCUGGCUCGCAACCAUAGGGAGAGUAGUAAGGAGCUUCUCUACGCGCGACGACGACCAAGCCCUUGAGUUCACCUCCGAGCAUGGGGCAAAGCAGGGCAAGAAUGAAGAAUGCCCCGAUUCCGGAUAGACGAGGCGCUCUCCGCUAAGGCCGUUGAUCUCGUCGGAGAGGAACAUCUUCAUAACCUCGAGGCGGAGAGGAUCCUUAGGGAGUUGACCCGGAAGGUGGAGGAGCGCUACGCCACUGAGAGGGCGGAGGCUGCCGCUACUGAGAAAGCGGUGAGUCCCGCUGCUAAGAAAGUAGCGACCUCGGUCGCCGUACUAGGCGUCGUCCGCACCAUGGAUGGGGAUGAGGGCGCGGGAGAUAUUGCAGACGUUGUCGUCACCGAGGAGGAUGAAGACGAGGAUGGGGACAACAUGGAUGAUGUCCUCAUCGCUGUCAACGCGCCCUCCGACUCCCGCCCAGUCGAGGAGGACGAGGGCGAGGACAAGGUGGACAAUGGUGCCACGAGUAACACCGUGGGUGUCGCCAUGUUCGUGGACGUAGCCUACGCGCCUUGUUCUACAACUGCAAGGCCGACCAAGUUGUGAUAUCACAUCAUGUCAGAUAAAUGCAUUUUCCAUGGAUGUGCAUUGAUAAUCAAUGAUCCUUUUCUUAAUUCACCAUCAUUUCGAGGCAUUGAUAGAAAAAUUUGUGUGGAGUUGGGACUAAAUUAUUAGUUGAUUCAUCUGAUAUAUUGUCAUGCUUACAUUAUAUAUUGUGAUGUUCCGGUAUCAGUUAUUGAUGUUAUUUUGUGACUUGGUCAUUGAAUAAGCUAGAAUCAGUUUUGGCCAUCUUUGCUAUCCGAUGAACUAACCAAGAUGCCAUUUGCUAGUGCAAGCGCAGCACUGUUUGCUAGUGCAAGCGCAACACUUAACAAUAGAUGGUUUGAUAUUCCUAUAGGCAUCCUUUAGGUGUAACCCGUCCACUUCCUUUUGCCUGCUAACAGUGAUAUAUUGUAUCAAUUGCAGUAUUUUGUCGUGAUUUCAAGCUUUAGGAGAUACUAAUGACAUGUCUGCCUGAUAUGGAAAUUUAAUUCAUCUUGGCAUGAAGUAUUGAUAGAAUUGAAAAUUGGCCAAAAGAUCAGGUGAAGUGAAUGGAUAAACUUGUUUCUUGCGAUAUGCUUCUUACUAUUUACACUUAAUUUGAACAUGUUUAGCAAAAACGAAGAAUUUAUACUUCAACGGCAUAUCAUUUAUUGAUGAAGGGCCUAUAGAAGUACUAGUUAGUGAUUUGUGAUUUACCUUUUGGAACCACCAGUAAAGGUGCUACAUAGGCCUAGCGCUUAACAAAUCACAAUACAUACCGACAUUAGCCAUUAUGGCAUUUCGAGUUCCUACUGAUAUUUUAAUAUCUAUUUUUGAGCUUCUGAUGCCUAUUUGACGCAUCAUACUUUGAUAGUCAAUUGAUAUAUCUUUAUUUGGACCUAUUUUCAGAUUUUGGGAUCGGUCAUAUGGUUAUUUUGCUGAGUGGAAGGCUUUGUCCGGAUUAAGUCUAAAGGAAGUUAUGUUCGUGGAGAUGUUGAUACAUGUAGAUGUUCCUUACUCAAACUAGGCUUUAGUCUCGAGGUGAUCUGAGAGUUAAUUGUUGUUCUUUAAGUUAUAACUGGAGAUGGAUGGAUAAUAUCUUACACUCUCUCAUAUAGUUUUAUACUUUUAUGCAACAAUAUAUACGCCCAAAGUGCUAGUUUUAUGUGUUCAGGCUGAAUUUGGUUGCGGUCUACUUUUCUUAGAUGUGGUCUACUUAAUGCCUAGCGCCAACAAUUAUCUACAAUAGUUCUACAUAGCUUUGUAUACACACGGUUGCAUUGUUGGAUCACCAAAUUAGAAAAGCCAACUCAGCAGAUUACAAGUCAAGUGGUGCAUACCCUAAAAAAGAACCAAGCAUCCAUCUCAAUCAAAGGUUGAUUAUAUGAUAAAAUGGUACUUAAUAUGUCAUAAUUCAUAAAGAUAUCAAUUGAUUUCUAACAAUCACCAUCAAGACACCGACUAGUAGAAAAAUUACUUAUACUAAUACUGAACUCAAAGGAUUGGUGAUGAUUUCUUAUGAACACCAAUUUGCACCCGUAAUGAUUUAUAUGACGUGUCAAGUAAAAAGGUUUACUUUAGCUCUAAAGAAGCAUGGUGUGGUGUGGGGUAGAGGUGGGAUUUGAUAGUGUCAUUUCUAGACUACACGAAGCACAACCUUUUAGCAUGUGGUAUGAGGGGUUAACCUCUACAUUUGACGCAGGGCACUACACUAUCUAAAUUGAGAGUUACAUCCAUUGUCAUGUUUACAUUCUUAUCACAUUUUUUGCUUUUUAUGAAAUAGCGUAGGCUAAAACUUUCUUUUCUCUUAUUAUUUCACACGAUGUUUUUCUUGAUUUGCAUCAUCCUUUUAUUACAUGUACUAUGCAAAUAAUCAUUGUUUUUGGUUGGACCAACUGCAUCCAAUAGAAGCGCUUGCUUAAUCACCAUUAAACUCUUGUUUGGAUAAACUCAUUUCCUCAUUGUGAAUUGAUGGGGAUUAUGAAAUAUCCUACAAAGUCUAAGUUGGACUGUCCAACUCUAUCUCGAAGCUCUCUACCAACAAAAUAUGCAGAUGAUAUUUCAAAAAAAAACAUGUGAGGAGUAAUGAAAACACGCCUCCAGCUCUACCAUACUUCCAAUUCUUAUAACACCUUUCAUAUAAACUUAAUAUCUUAUACAUUAGUAAUUCUAGAACAUAAUAACAUGGUUCAAUUAGUUUUGAAAAGCAAAGAUCAUUUUAGUUUUGAAAUUUAGAACUGCCUUUGCGCGACGCAACCAUUCCGAGCCAACGUAGCUUGAAACGUAUCGUGUCCAUAUUGCCUCCAGCUGUGCGUUGGCUCCCGCAAUGUGGCAUAAGUGAUUUGCGCAAAUUGGCUGUGCGGUGUGCACUUUCCCAUUGGGCGGUGAGAUCAAGCUGCAUAGUAACCACCUACGCCAGUCCCCGACUACCACCUGUCCGCUUUUAAUCGCUGUAGUCCUAAUCACCACAUCCGUCCUAGCACCGGCCUACCGGGUGACCCAGCGAGCCCGCCACCAUAGGGAGAGCGGUUAGGAGCUUCGCUAUUCGCUACGCGCGACGACGACUGGGUCGUCGCCCCUCGGUAACUAGCAACUUUUUUCCUAACUAAAGCUUUGUUGACGAAAAUUAGCAUGCCAAUUUAUGAACCGAAAGCUCUUUGUAUUGGAUAAGAUUGGAACUAAGCGAUCUAGAAUGUAAACAAGAUAGAUAAAACGCUUGUCCUAGGGAUCUAGGAUCACUUGCAGAUAUAAUCACCAUGCAUGAAAGAACUAGAUCUAAGUGUUAUCAUGAGUGGAUGUGAACCAUGCCCAACACUUUCCCUCUCACACGCUGUCACUACACGAGGUACUCAACUAUUGGACGAUAAGAACACAGCAUGAUGACCGUUCUAGGUAAGCAAAUAAACAACCCAAAGUAGCACUGGUCAGCUAUUACAUGAAAGGACAUCGUUGAUAAGAAAUAGAUCUUAAACAAGAGGUUCGGCGAUUACAAAUCAAGAUCUCCAUACAAUCACGAGGACAAACGAAGACUUUACCCCAUGAUCUUACACAUGUUGACAUAAUUAUGGGUAAAGAUCAUCCUGUAGAUCAAUUGGACCGAAAACGACGAUGAACGGGAGCAGGAAAGCCCCAGGCCAAUCGGCAUGGCACCUCCAAGUCAAUCGGCUUGGGAGGUUUUCCCCUCCUCUGGUGCUCUGCUUCGCGUGGCUUCUUGUAGAUCCAAUCUUCUCUCCAUUUUUCCUCCUUGUGGCGGUGAUGGAUGGUGUUUGCGUGGUGUUUUCUUCUUUCUCCCUCUCUCUUUUUUCAAGUAAUCCAUGAGGGGGUAUUUAUAGUCUCCAAUAAUCGGUGGCUCUGGACUAAUGGUCGACGGAAAAACCCUAAGAAUGUCGUGGACGUCACGCUGAAGAAUUGGAAGGUCGAACAGGGCUAAGAAUGGACCAGGCCGAUCGGCCUACAGCCCUUUCUAACCCUCCUAGUCCUCUCCUUCCUCGUGCCGGCUCUCUCGAUGACCCAUGUUCAAAUAUAUCCAUUAAUUUCUUUAUGAAAACCCCCUUGAUUAUGUCAUAUUUCCUGACAUAAUGCAAUACACUCCAAAAUACAAACACAUAUGCAAUAAAUGGGGUUAUUUCAGGUACCAAGUGGCGGGUUAGUAUAAGAUUAAGUAUGACAACACUAGUUAAAUAGCACUAAAAUAUGUCAAUAACGAGUGUCAACAGUUCCUGCAUAUAAAGAAUUAUGACUAUUGAAUGAUAAUGUUUGGGUUAUUUUUCUUAAGAAAUACAUGCAUGUAUACGACCGUCGAUGCAAGGACGAGGGGAUAAAGAAGCAGUAUGGAGAAAGAACUAAUACACAUUUGUUAUUGAAAGAGCUCCAACUCUUGGUUUCAGAACCGCAUAUGGUAUCAAUAUACUCUCGUAUUAAUGCCUCGUUUGUUUCUUUAGGAGCUCGUAAAAUUCCUGUCACAUCGAAUGUUUAGAUAGUAAUUAGGAGUAUUAAACAUAAAUUAAUUAUAAAACUAAUUGCACAGAUGAAGACUAAUUUGCCAGAUGAAUCUAUUAAGCAUAAUUAGUCCAUGAUUUGAUAAUGUGGUGCUGCAGUAAACAUGUUCUAAUGAUAGAUUAAUUAGGCUUAAUAGAUUUAUCUCAAGAUUUAGUCUCUAUGUAAUUAGUUUUAUAAGUAACUCAUGUUUAAUCCUUCUAAUUAACAUCUAAAUCGAUGCGACGAGAAUUUUAUUCCGAACUGUGAAUCCGAAGAGCCGCUAAAGUUACUGGCCUCGGCGACAGAUGAGGGGCGCUGGUACUGUAGCUACAGUGAAAUGGCUGGACUCGGCACAGUGUGCCGUCGCCUCCCCUGCACCGCUUCUACUCCGCCGGUCCGCCCAUAGCCUCCUUCCGCGCAUGGCUGGUGCCGCCGUGCCGGAGAUCCCAGCACCUGCACCGCUGGUGACUACCCCGCCUCUGCUCCUCCGUUUCCCUAUCUGGCUAUCUCGCGCUGCUGCACAUGCCACCCGAGCUCAGAACCAUGGCCAAAUCCAAAGGCAGAAGAAGCCAGGUUGAAAUCAGGAGCCGAUGGAAGCCAAAUCGAGAAGGAAGAGGGGGGAUCUGAACAAUAGAAGCAUAUCGAAUCAAUUUUACUCCACUAAUGCCUAAAUCAUUCACCACAAGAGACCGAAUCGAGAGGACGAAAUAAUCGGGGUUUGAUACUUCGAUCACUGAACGGUCGCAGCAACGCGAAUCAGAAGAUCACUGAAUGGAGAGAAUGGGAGAUUUAUGUCUGAUGGCUCGCUAUGCGCUACUUACGGGCAGUUACGAGGACAGAAGAUUUGAGAUUUGCCCGUGCAGGCAGUACAGCGCGCGAUCACCCGGCUCGCCGAGUCGCCGCCAGGUUCUCCACCUUCCGCAUCACCGGAUCACAGCGACGCACGCGGCGCGUCAAACACCACCGUGACGACGCCUGAGCAGCGCGGCCACUCCACCAGACAGUAUGUGGGCAUGUGGCAGAAGGCCAGCACGAGGCAGAGCAGAUGCACAUCUCAUCCCCUGGAUAGAUGAAGAUGGCCACACAUGACUACAUGAGCCAUGGAAAAACUGAAUGUGGCAGCAGAAUGUUAUGGCCAGAAAACUGGGACGCUCGGCAUUCCAUCACCUCACCUCUGCAACUACAACCUCUUUCGAUGCCGCUUGUCUCUCCAUGGAACCACUUCAAAGGCCUUGGCGGGGCCAGCGACCGUGUCCCCGUCGUGUUCAUCGAUCGCCAUGAACCAUGCGGGAGCCGCUACAGCUGCACCGCGCGCGCGCCGGCAAUGUUGACUCGGGUGCCUCCGGCAAGCGGCAAGGUCACCAGCAGACCAGUGGUCCAGAUGCAGGAACGCGGCCGAGCCGCAGCCGGCGUACGUGGGCGGGAUUCUGAUGAUGUCGAGCUCCUCGGUCUGUGGGAGCUCAGUAGCUCACGCCUCACGCUGGAGGUCAUCGACGGUGCCGACGAGCCACGCCGGCCUGCGUAGCAGCACUGUUUUACGAGGCCUAGAACGCGCAGUCAGAAGGUUUGAGCUCGCCGUCGAGGCCAUGGCGGCGGCGUUGCGGUCCACGAUCCAGCCAGGUGACCAGCGCGGCGAGGCGCCCGACCUCUUGGGGGGACGGUAAAUGAAAUACCGUCCACCCCUUGCCUCUCCCGACCUGACAAUCAGAGAUCUGCGGCAGCGAUCAGCUACCAAGGCAGCCUGGCGCCGCGCCACGCUCCUGGUGGCGCGUGCGUCCCACCUCUACCUCACCUUCCAGUUCGUCGCCGCGCGGCCGGCGCCGUACCUCAUCUGCGCCGUCGGCCCCUCGGGCGCCCAACUCUCCAUAAACUACGUCGUUCGCCACCGCAGCUACGCCUCUGCCGCCGUCGAUUACGCCACCGGCGUGGCGUCCAACGCGGGCGGGGCACCGUCGUUCGACGCGAGGAAGUGGCACGGCGCGAUGGCCGGGCUCGGGUGGGGCGCGCUCAUGCCGCUCGGCGCCGCGCUAGCGCGGUACUUCAAGCGGCGGGACCCGUUCUGGUUCUACGCGCACGCCUCCGUGCAGGGGGUCGGGUUUGUGCUCGGCACGGCCGGGUCGUCGCCGAGCUCAAGCUGGACGGCGGCGACCGCCACCAGGCGCUCGGCGUCGCCGUCCUCGCCUUCGGCUACCUCCAGGUGCUGGCGUUCCUGGUGCGGCCGGGCAAGGGGUCCAAGGUGAGGCGGUACUGGAACUGGUAACACCACUACGUCGGCCGCGCCGCCGUGACCUGCGUCGUCGCCAACGUCUUCGUCGGGUUGUGCGUCGCGCACGACGGCGUCUUCCUCGCGAUCGGGGUCCUCGCCUCGGCUGGUCUCGAGGUCAGGCUCUGGAAAGCCGCCGCCGCUUGAUCCAGCGACCGAUCGAUCAGACUUUUUUGGAGCGUGCACGAUACUGCAUCCGAGUAUAUGAGAUGAGCACAGGAAGGACACGCAUGGCGUUGCUGAAUUCAAUCGGCCAGGCCGAGAAGCUGCAGAACAGCACAACCAAUCGGCCUUUGGUGUAAAAGUACAUGCACUAGUUUCAGCCUUCUGUUCUUCAGGUUCAGCGAAAAAGGCACGUUCUUCAGGCGCCGCCACUAGAAGCUUCAGUAGUUUCAUCCAUCAGACUUGGGAGCUGCUACCUAAAAGCUCGGUUGUUCCAUUGCCUCGGUCACAGCGGCGUGGAUCGAAUCAAGUGACCCGUCGCCGGCGCCAUCAAACGCACCAGAGGCAACGUUGACCAGUGGUCCAGGCUGCAGGAACGUGGCCGUGCCGUAGCCGGCGUCCGCGUGCAGGAUGCUGAUGAUGUCGAGCUCCUCGAUCCGUGGGAGCUCAGUGGCUCAUGGUGGAGGCCAUCGCCGGCGCCGACGAGCCACGCCGGCCUGUGCACCAGCACGGUUUACGGGGCUUAGAACGCGCAAUUAGCAGGUCUGAGGCUCUGAGGCCAUGGCGGCGCGGUUGUGAUCCACGGUCCGGGGGCCAGCGCGCGCGAGGCGCCUGACCCCAGGGGUCCAGGCGGCCCAGCGCGUCGUCGAGGUCUCGAGGAGGGCUGCAGUCACGCGAGGAAGACGGUUGAUGGUUGCCACCUAGGUUAGAUCCAACGGCCUAAAGAGACCCAGGGUGGGCAGCACGAGGCUGAGCCGAUUCUGUGGACCAGGAAUCCAGGAUUAUUUUGGGCUGCUGAUGCAUACACGCAUGUAUAGCACGUCCACUCAUGACUCAUCCAGAGCUUGGGUGCACAGCCCAAAGUCGGCAAAACAAUCACAACUUGUGAUUCACAAAGCACAACGGACAGGAAAGAGAUCUGUUGCGCAACGAGUAAUCCUGUGCUGAAACUUUACUAGACGAAAAGGGAGCGGAUUGUUCCUGAACCACUUGUUUACUCUACAACGACGACCCUCUGAUUUGAUAAACGAUAAUGUGUACAGCUCUAUUAAAACAGAGUCCGAUGCAGCAUGACCAAUACGAGAUCACACUCGACGGACGAUGUCACCAAGCUGAUGAUCUACCCUGGCUUCCAAAAUUUUCUAAUAUCUCUUCAAUGUGCGUAGAGAUAGUAUCAGUUGAUGUACUUCGUGAGAGAAUAUUAGGGUUGUAUAAUACUUGGAUUAAUACUCAAUAGACAUAAUCAGUGUAUAUAUAUAGGCCACAAGGGGAGCCACUAGGGGCAAGCCCAUGGGCCGUAUAUCUACUGUCUAACACACCCCCACAGUCGGAGGUGGGAGCACCGCGAACAUUGAGACUGGACCUAAACUCUGUGAACACUGAUGUCGGAAGUCCCUUGGUGAAGAUGUCAGCAUACUGCGAAGAGGUAGGGACAUGCAGCACACGGACUUCUCCAAGAGCGACUCGCUCACGAACAAAGUGAAGAUCAAUCUCGACAUGUUUGGUACGCUGGUGCUGGACUGGAUUGGUGGAGAGAUAAACAGCACUGAUGUUGUCACAAUAGACGAUGGUAGCUCUGCGGAGAGGACAGCGAAGCUCACCAAGUAACUGACGCAGCCAACAAGCCUCGGCGACACCAUUCGCCACACCACGGUACUCAGCCUCUGCACUUGAACGGGAUACUGUUGCCUGACGCUUGGCAGACCAUGAAAUGAGAUUGUCGCCAAGGAACACAGCAAACCCAGAGGUAGAACGGCGAGUGUCUGGACAUCCUGCCCAGUCAGCAUCAGAGUAUACUGUAAGAGUGUCUGGUGCACUGCGAGAGAGGUGAAGGCCAAGGUCCUGACUGCCCUGCAAGUAUCUGAGAAUGCGCUUCAUAGCAGCAAGAUGUGGUUCUCUGGGGUCAUGCAUGAACAAGCACACUUGCUGCACUGCAAAGGCAAUAUCUGGACGAGUAAAGGUGAGGUACUGCAAGGCUCCGGCAAUACUGCGGUAGUGUGACCUAGACGGCGAUGCCAUAGGGCGGACGUGGAUGUAGUGGCGGCGAGGGCAGUGGUGCUGGUGGCAGGUGCAACAAAGAAAGGGUAGAGGUCACCCGAACUGUUACAUCUGGCGAUCACGCUCCGUGUUUGAAGAUCCUUCACAGAAAGACCGAACGGAUCAAACUCAAUUGAACAAUUGUUAUCAAUGGUAAAGCGGCGAACGGAAAUUAGAUUCUUAAUAAUGCCAGGAGCAACAAGAACAUUAGAAAGAACUAGUGACCGACGCGGUGUAACAAAAGAGGAGGAUCCGACGGAAGUAACGGGGAGGGACGCACCGUUAUCGACAAUAAUUGAUGAAGGAUGAGAGGAUGAGGGAUAGGAGGAGGUGAGUAUACCAGCGUUGUUUGCCAUGUGAGAGCCGGCGCCCGAGUUGAUGUACCACUCGUUCGAAGGAGAGGGCACGUUCAGCGACAUGGUGCUGAAAUUGUCGAUGAGGGAGCCUUGAUUCCACGAUCCACCAGCCAUGGGAGUCCAUGGCGCCUGCUGCUGCUGCUGUGUCAUGGGUGAAGAGGGCACACCCCCAUAGCCGAAGCCGGGUGGUACACUCGGCGCGCCCUGCUGCAGCAUGUAGGGCACCUGCUGCGGCGCGUAGACGGGCUGCUGCUGGGCGUGGAAGGCGGCCGGCGGCUGUUGUUGACGAUGCAUGGCGCCGCCGGGGCCGUAGGGGUACGGCCAGAACUGAACCGUGCCACCCCACGAGUUGGGGAUGGGGUUCAUCGGCGGUGGAGGCCCAGGCCGAGGUCCGCCCCCAGAGCCGCCCGCACCGGCGCCAGGGCCGCCGGGGCCGCCGGUGGAUCCGCCGCCGUUGCCGCCGCCGUUGCCGUUGUUCUUGUUCUUGCCGCGGCGGCGGUUGUUGUUGCGCUGCCCGGCGUUGCCGCCACCGGAUGGGGCGCGCCCCUGGCCACCGCCCGACUGCCCACCGGAGGGGUGCUGCGGGGCGCCACCGCCGGACGUGUAGAGGGCAGCAGGGGGAGGCGGAUCAUCGGCGGCCGCGUCCUUGAGAUCGACCUCCUCGAGGAGAAGAAGGUUCCGCACCUCGUUGAAGGUGGGGAAGGGGCGCUGGAGCUUCAGAUGCGACAUCAUAUGGCGGAAAGUGCCAUUGAGGCCGCGGAUCAGUGUCAUCACCAGCGUCCGAUCGCUGACGGGAUCGCCGAACUCAGCGAGGGCGCUCGCCAUCGUCUCCAACCGACGACAAUAGUCGGUGAUGUUGAGGGCGCCCUGCUUGAAGUUGCGGAACUCGGCGGAGAGGAGGAGGGCGCGUGAUUCACGCUGCCCUAGGAACUCGUCGUCGAGGGCGAGCCACGCGACGCGAGCGGAGGGCUCCUUGAGCAUGACCUGCUGCUGCAGAUCAGCGUUGAUGGUGACGUAGAUCCACGACAGCACGGUGCAGUCCAUCUGCGCCCAUGCGGAUCGCGUGGGGUGGGCGGCAUCGGACAGGACGUGAUCGGUCAGCGCGUACUUGCCGAGGACGACGAGGAAGACCUUGCGCCAUCGAUCAUAGUUGUUGGAGACGCGAUCGAGGGUGAUGGGGAUCAACACCUUGAUGUUGACGACGGCGAGAGCCUGUGCAUGGACCGCGGCAUGCUUGGCCUCGAGCGCAUCGAGGGCAGCCUCGCGAUCGGCCGCGGCCUUGGCGGCGGCCGCGGCGGUCGCGGCGGCGCGCUGCGCGCGCUCCUCCUCGGAGAGCACGUCGUCAUCGGCCAUAGGUAGGGGUAGGGUAGGGAGAGGGGAGCCGGCGAGGGACUCUCGGCGACGGCGCGGCGGGCACCGGCGAGAGGCGCUGCAGCGGUGGCUCUAGCGGAAGCGGGAUCGAGAACCGACCCAUGAUACCAUGAGAGAAUAUUAGGGUUGUAUAAUACUUGGAUUAAUACUCAAUAGACAUAAUCAGUGUAUAUAUAUAGGCCACAAGGGGAGCCACUAGGGGCAAGCCCAUGGGCCGUAUAUCUACUGUCUAACACUUCGAGUUCAGAAAACAGUGGACACAAAGUUAAAUCUAGCCCAGGUUCAGAUGCUUUUAAAUAACGACGCUUCAUACGUUUUUAAAAUCAGGCGUGCCCGGGGUUUUCACAUCUAGCCUGCAUAAGUUUUGGGGAACAUUGGAUAUUCGAAAGCACUAGAUCUCUUGAGAAGAUAAUUAAAUAUCUAUCAGUUGAUUGCGGACCUGACCUGUUUCAGUUCUCUCUUCCUUUCUCUAAGGGCAAGUAUAUUGGUAUUGUCUCAUAGGCGAUCUUAUACAUUGACACGUGAUCUUAAGACGAUUUAUCAGACAACCACUACAAUAGUUUGUGUUUUUGUUUGUCUCGUAGUAAUCUAAAAUUCUUUGAUUUGUGGAUGUAAUAAAGGAAUAUUAUGAGUUACAUGGCAAUCACAACUGGUACGAUGGUAAGUAGUGAUCUCAUAGUCCUAAAAUUUAGCUUAUGAGGCGGUUGUUUCGCGAAACAACGACCUCUUUCUUUUUCCUUACUCCCUCUCUUUCACAUCAGUAAAAAUCCUACAUGGCACUGCAUGAGACGACCUAUGAGAACCUUCUCCUUUACAAAUUUCGGUUAAAGAAACAUGGCAGCCAAAAAAAAAAGGUAAUAAUAGCUAUUCCUGGAGAAGCCCAAUACAGGCCUAUAAAAAAUAAACCCAACUCAGCUUGCAGGGCAUGCAGUAGUCAAACUUUUUUAAUCUCUCAGUUUUCAGAUUCUUCAGCGCAGACCUGUAAAUGUAUAAACCUGGGAUUUUGUAGUUGUAACGAGUGGUAUAGCACCUCAUGGAUGAGAAUGAAAAUGCCCCCGGAACAAAUAAACAACAGAACUAAAGAUGUACCCUAAAGCAUGAAAUUUCGGAAGCAUAAUAAAUUCAUAAAACUGACCUCCGCUGAGUGCAACCAAGAGUGAAUAUUUUUGUUUUCAAACCUUCCAUCCUGCUAAGCCUGUAAGCAAAGCAACAGCAAGGUGAGAAAAAUAAGUUAGUGUAGUGGGAAAAGGCAAGGAUACAAGCAACGAAAACAACAUGCAAAAAAUGGUUCAUCAAAUGUGUGGCUGCUGGGAUUCGAGCCCAGGUCUCCACGGCCACAACGUGGAAUUCUCACCACUAAACUACAGCCACAUUUGAUUACCACAAAUGAGGCAACUGUACUUAUCCUCAAGAGGAACAUAAUAGAACCCAUGCCAUCUUCAUCGCUUUUAUCGGUACUAUUUCUUCAUUUUCCCUUUGAUUAGAAUUUAUUCAAAUUUUGUCUGAUGGUUGAAAGGACAGUCUACCUGCAAAAUAGAACAUUUCAUCUGCUAAACAAGGCAUACUAUCCAGCGAAGUCCUAGGCCUUAAACAAGUUAUUUGAUUGAGCCACCACAAAUUAAUAAAUAUGAUAACAAAUAUUCGUCACUGCAUAUUAGAGUAAAAAACAUCAGUGAAGAGCAAGGCAACCAGCCAAAUAGUUUUGACAAGUUACCAGCAAAUCCAACAAGGAAUCUUUGAGGAAAAAAAAACAGAAUCAUAACAGAAUAACCACGAUAGAAGGAAAUAAGAUGCUCCUACCAAGAUAAUCCCCUUUGGUAACAUCAACUGACAAGAUAAACUUAAAAGCUGAUAUAUAAAUUUCCAUCUUGUGCAAUUAAGAAUUUGUACAUAAAAGAUAGUAAACGAUAAUAUACCAAAUAUGGUAUGAUUUUUAAUAAUGCAAAAGGUAUAAACAUAAAUGCUGAAUUGCUUAGCUAGCAUAGACGUGUGCUAAAUGUUCAGUGCAAUAUGGCGUACAACUGCAAGACCAUUUUUUCUAAUAACAUGUUUUUAAUGGUAUAAAUGCUGGACCAAGAGGGUGGAUGAAAACUCAAAGCAACUGCAACAGGAAUAUAUACCAUCCGCUUCGAUUGACCAUUAACAUCCAAUAGUUGCACUGCAUGCGAAACAGGAUCCAAUUUGACUUGUAUGGAACAAUAUUCAACAGGCGUAAAACUAGUAAGGAAAUGAAGCAGCUGGCAGAUACUACAAUCCACUUUAACAUCCGAUAUAUAAAAAGUGAUCAAAGGUUGCAAAAUUAACUUUAGAAACUAGCUGACAGCAAAGUAUACUUAGUUACUUACGCUCAGUGCUUCCAAACAAGUAAACCGUCUUCUCAUAAAGCUCCCCACCUUCUUCUAGUGUUUUCUGCUCACCACACACACAAAAAAAAACA